CUCCAUUUUACCUCCGAGUUCAAACCUGUUAAGGAAAACAAAUCUACAGGGUGAGCAAAACGCUCGUGAGGCCAAGAACACACAUGCAGACACAUAGUUCAGAUAACAAGCCCAAAUACAAUUCAGGUAAUAGCUUGCAAGUAAUUAAUAACGCCGAUAAAAUGUAACUAGAAACAAUUCAAGGAUAUGGAAGCUCUCAGGAGCUAAGUUCCACAUUUGCCGAUGUCAUUUGUAUAUCUCCCCGUGAUGACUCUCCGUCAACCGGGUUGAUAUUUUCAUAUCCGUAGUUCACCACUUACUUCUCAUCCGUCCACCAUACACCACUUCGGCCCGCACGACAUUUAGAAGGCUAUACUCCACGAGUAAGCCAAGCAAGAUCUCUCAAAUAGAUCAAACUUAUCAUGUAAUUCUCAUGGCUCACCAAGGUUCCCGACCAAGCCCAUGCCGGCUCGAGUUCCAAGGUCGGCCUAUGAGUUUGGGCGUCCCCAUGUAUCAUGUAAGUGUCGAGGAGAUUCACUCCAACGACGUAUGCAAUCAUAGCAUACCAUGUCAUGUAUUCAAGCAUUUGACAGGUUUAAGCAGGCAUUUCAAGUCAUGUAACCAGGCAAAUCAUGUUAAGCAUGAGUCAUUCGUUUCAAAUGAGAACGAGUGCGAUCAAGUACACACUCGACUCCAUUUUUGUCAAAAUCGAAUAGGCUACGCAUGUAAUCAGGUAAGUCAAGCAUGAAUCAAGUCCUUAGAGUUCAAGUAAUCAUACACUUGACACUCACCAAGUUAUGCAAGCAAGUAAGUUGGAGGGAGAGUUCAAACUUCCACGGUAGGGUCCUCUUGGAGGUUCUCGUGCGUGCCUGAACAUGAACAUCGAUAUUAGAUAAUUACUAUAGGUCCCCAAGUGGUGAGAAAGAUUGAACACGAGUAAGGUUCGAAAAUAUUUGAAACUUCAUUUGACUUGCCUUUGAAGUUGGAUUCUCAAAAGGUGUAAGACUCAAGUAAAAGAAUAUCGGAUUAUUAUCCUUAAAAUCAUUGGUUGAAAACGAGUACGAGCGAAAAGAUUGCAAAACGGACGAUCGAAAUCGGAGAAGGGUUGGCCACGUCACAAUCUGGCCGGAACCUGGCCGGAUAUCCGGCCGGAUUUCUGGCCGGAUUGGGGCAGUGGCUAACCUCCUUUUUUUCAAACUUCACCACUAAUCCGGUCGACAAUCCGGCCAGUUUCUGGCCGGAUUCAAGGCCGGAUUCUGUGGAAUAGUUCCUUCGCGGAUUUCCUUUGAAAUUUCAGAAUUUUCGAUUUUUGGUCAAAUGUUUGAAAAAUCAUAAUUUCUUUUCUACAAAUCGAAACUUGAUAAAUUUGGUACCGUUGGAAUCGUCUUCCAAAGUACUAAAAGUCCUUAGAAGACAUUGUUCCAUGAAUCUAAGUGGAAGGUAUUAAAAAAUGAGCCUAAAGUUGCUGUUCUAGAUUACCAGGAUUGAGCCGGGGUUGGUUUUUCGCUAACUUUGGAAAUUCGGCAAAAAUCACUCGUUGCAAACCGGCCCUUGAAACUUAUAACUCAAUUAGAAGUGCAAGUAAAGUUUUGGACAGAGCAAGCGUCUCAAGAAUCGGAGUUUCGAGCACCAAGAUAUGGUAGCUCAAAGUUUUGCCUAACAAUUUUGUUUUUUUCCAUUUGACAAAUUAGAAAAAAUAAUUAGAGUCUAACAGAAAAUCAACACACAAGAAAAUAGUGAUGCACAUAUACAAUUGGGAAAAGAUAAAUGUACAAAUGAAAAUAGAAUCGAUUAACUUUUCUAUCUAGCCAUAAUUGUUAUACCCGCUUCCUAACCACUUCCAAUUGUUUUUUGAUGCAAUUAUUUAAUAGGAAUGAUGAGGAGAUGACCUCUCUAUUUCAGAUCAUAAAUCCAUUCCAAGAAUGUUUUACUUCAGCACAGAUGUCCCACAAUUCUGUCACAUGGAUGUUCCCAACUGAAAAAUUAGACCAAUAAUAUACUUAAAUGCAAAAAAUCAAAUUUUAGACAAGUAACUUGUGUUGUAUAUCAAUCAACCUAAUAGAGGAGUCCCUUUCAAAGGAUAAAAUUCCGUGCUAGUCAAUAAGCAGUUUAAAUCCAAAGGAGAAAAAAGCACUAAAUCUUUGGUAGAAGAAGAUGCACAUUUCCAGAUAUAUGUUAAAUCUUGUAAAAUCAAAUUUCUCAACUACCUCAUAAUUACUUUAGUUAUAAUUAAAUUAGUGCUUUCAAUGCAUUAGAAAAGGCUAAGCCGCUAAUCCUUUCAAAAUGCCCAGUAAACUUGUUCAUAAGCUGUAAAAUUGACAAGAAAUAUUUAAGUUGAUCACUACUAUUUCAUCAUGUUAAAAGCAUUACAUGUGCAAAAUGCGUGUUAUACCAUAGGCCCAUACGUUGUAGAUGAGUAUAGCAGAAUCAUCCAUGUCAAUAGCAAGUAGGUUGUUAUUUGCUUUUGUAGAUUAAUUUCAAAACUUAUGGCAGGGUAAUUCGUGUAAAAUUGUACUCUAGCAAUAGCAAUAAGAAUUUAAUGUUUCCAAACGUUGAUAAAGGAUAAUGUACUGACGGGUUUUUACUUUAAGUGCAAGUUUAAUUCCGAAUUUACACCCGUUGGACUGCAAGUAUACAGGUCGCAAUUGUAGUACGAGAUGUGUAUCGGGUCGAUCCCACGAGGAGCAAUUUAAAACAAUUAUUAGAUACUAAUUUACUCUAUUAUUUAGACUCACAAUUAAUUUGAGCAGAAACUUCAGAUUUCAAUUCAACUACAAAAAUUCUUAAAUAGAUAAAUGCAAUAUCUCAAGGGGAGUAGAAUUCACUAAAUAUUAAGAUCUAGGGAUGUAGAUUCCACUUAUGACACAAAAGAUCUAAAAUGAAUUAAUUCAACACUUGUUACUGCUCUUGUUUAACCAAGGAUUCAUUUCCAGAAAUACCAAAAUCACAUUCUCAUGAUAAUAAUGGGUUAAAACAGAUUAGUUUGUCCUAAUCUCUUGGUAAAUACUAAAUCUGUUCUUAUUCACACAUGAAAUGCAGAUUUCAUCCACUUGAACGUAUUUCUAUUCUCAUGAAUAUACAACUCAAGUUCUACUUGUGUCAUUCCAUUAUUUUUACCAUUUCUCAAUGAAUAAAAAUAACUAUAAACCUGCUAUUGGUGAUCAAGCAACAACAAGUAAUCCAACAUACACAAGUAGAUAAGUUAAUACAAGACAUAACAAGAAUGAAUAACAAUCACUUCAUAUCAUUUGGCCAUAAGUUUCAUCUACUCCCUAGAUAAAGAAAAUUAGCUACUCAUGAAUGAUAAAACACUCAUAACUUCAUUAAUGUAAAUCAUCAUGAAUUACAAAUACAAACAGAGUAAAGAAAGUCUUAGCCAAGAUAUGGUGAAGCCUUCCAAAAAUCUCCUUUGUUUUGAACUUAGAUGAUUACAAGAUGAAAUCCCAAUUGCCCCUUGCAAGUCCUAGGUAGAGAGAAUAUGUUUUUCUGUAAGAAAACUAAGCUACGAAUGGAUCCCAGACCUCUCCCCAUAUUUCUGCAUAAAAGGUGGUAGAAAUUCCAUUCCUCUCACUUCAUAAUUUCCUCCACUCAGAUUUUGUAAAAAGAAGUCAAAGAUAUGAUGUUUCCUUUUGUCCACACUCAUUUGGUCUUCUCUUUUAUUGCAGAAGCAUGUGCACCGAAUUCCCUUGCAUCUUAUAGCUGGAAAGUGGUAUGAACACAAGAGAAUUGACUGAGUCAAAUUGCAGAAUUUCGGCUAUAAAACGCGCCUACACAAAACGCGGCAUAACUCGCGUUUUGUCUACUCGCGUUUUCACUCUGGCCUUAUUUCAACUGCAAUUUUCUCCAUGAUGCAGGCCAAACUAGCUUUUGUGCAAAACACAAAAGUUGUAGCCCUUUGCGUUAGCUUUCCAAUGCUUCAAGAAUCAUCCAAAUCGGAGCUUUGUACCCUGAGAUAUGAUCGAAAUACUGUCACCUGUUCAAACCUCUGUUUUAACUUCCGACCACAGAAUGCAGCUUCUGUAUUCCAACGUUUUGCCCAUGAAGAUGGCAGAAAUGGAUUUCGAUGUCUUCAUACGAAUUGUAGGUCUCUUUCUUAGCUUUAAAAUGGUAUAAAGAUCACCUCAAUCCGAUAAGUGUAGCUCCAGAUAUGGUCAAAAUACUGAAGAGUGUCAAAACUGACUUGAAGUGCAAUUCUUCAUUUGAACGUUUUUCACUUCAUUUUUCUUUUCACCACUUAAUUUCAUCACCAAAUCUCUAUUUUUCACCUCAUUUGCCAUCCUUUGGUGAUUGAGUCAUCAUUCCUGCAUAAAAAUGAAGGUUUUACCAUUAAAAUCACUAAAAAUGCAAUAUUAUCCACUUUUACCAAAAAUAUAUAAUUUUACCAAAAACCUCUUUAUUUUAUUUAUAAAACUAAAUAAUCAACUCAAAAUUAACUAAUAAAAUGCACUUAAAAAUACGUAAAAUAAACUCUUAUCAAAUACCCCCACACUUGAAUCAUUGCUUGUCCUCAAGCAAUAUAAAAUUCUAACCAUCAAUGAUCCAAAAAAAUUGAAAAUAAACAUAUGUAGUAUUUCAACUCCAUUUCCUUGAAUCAAGGUAAAUAACUCUUAUGUGAUCUUUCCAUUAAGUUCAAGUACUCAUAAUAUCAAGCAAAGAAGAGCCAAGUAUACCAUAAUUUUACCAAUUCAACUCAACUUCUUAUUUUUAUCCAAUUUCGCAAGCAAGCAACUCCUAUAGUCAAUAAAAAUGCUAACUAAUCUCAUGAUCAACUUCUUAUUUUUCUUAAAGAGGGAUUUAAUUAAUUUUUUUUUAUUUAUUUAUUUAUUUAUUAUUAUUUUUUAUAUAUUUUAAGGGUUAAAUAUUACUUAAGUUGUGAAAAAUGCCUUUUGACGCGAAGAUCAACAUUUUUAGAUGCAGAUCCCCGGUUACUCAACAUUUCACAUACUCAAGUUGCUUUGCAUACUCUUAAUUCAAGUACCUUUUUACGCGAAUGUCGACAUUUGUAGAUGCCAACCCCGGUUACUCGGUAUGAGAAUCAUUGGAGUCGAACAACCCUUUUUUUUUUUUUCAAUAUAUAUAUAUAUAUAAUAAAAUUCCCUCUAAGAGUAAUCAUGAGAAGAGUAUGACACUUAUUAACCAUAUUAAUUUCUUAUCUUAUAAAAUUAGAUAAAAAGAAGAAUUUUCAUCAAAUAUACAAAAUGUAGGCAUAAUUUUCUCCAUUUUACUAGAUAUACUUUCCUAUAGAUGUAAAAAUUAUAAUCACAUAAAAAUCAUUUCCAAAUUUCAUGAGAAAAGAAGUAUCAAAACCGCAUAUAUUUAUUUUAAAAGGAUAAGUGACAACAUUUUAUUUAUUUAUUAUAGUUGAUAAGUGACUAAUUUACGUAAUAAUUGUAUGAUAUUUUAUAUUAUUUUUAGUCACUUUGGAUAUAUUAUUGGAAGAAAAUGAUUCAUUUUGGCUAUAAUUGGUAUAAAAUGCUUUUAAGUGGUUAAAUGAGGUUUUUAUCACUUUUUACUUGGAUUUUGUGUAUUUUGACAGUUUUGACACAUUUUCGUAUUUCGGCUAUAACUUGAGUUACAAUGAUCGGAUUGGGAUGAUUCUUGAACCCAUUUGAAGAUAAGAGAUAGAUCUACAACUUUGGUGAAGACAUCCGAAUCCAGUUUGAAGGUUUUCAAAAUCAAAAAUCCGAAUUACAUUAGCUAAUUUCUGUUGGUCGAAGCUGAAACAGGGCAAUGAGCAGACAAGGGUAUUUCAGUCAUAUCUCAGCCUACAAAGAUCCAAAUGAGGUGAUUCUUGAUGCAUUGGAAAGAUAACUCAAAAGGCUACAACUUUCGUGUUUUACACAUGAGCUGGUUCAGCCUCUAACAUCAAGAAAAGAUCGUUGAAGUUGGGCCAAAAACAGAGCAAGUGAUCCACACUCGGAUCCACUAUUCAUCCGAACCCUCGGCUGUUUCUGGGUUAGUGGAUCCGAGCUCGGAUCCAUACGGAUCCGAGCACUGUAGCAGCUCGGAUCACUGGUCAGAAAAGGCUGCUUUAUACGCGUAAAACUCAAUUUCACCUCCACCAACUCACAUGUGAUGCUAGACAUGUGAGAAAAUUCCCAGCUGUAAAAGGGAGUUGAAAACAUCAUUUCUUGACCAACCUUUCAUCAUUAAAUAGCCAAAUUCAUUGCAAAAGGAAAGGGAGAGAGCAAAAGGAGAUAGAGAGAGAUACGGGAGAAACUUGGUCUGCAACAAUGUAGUUCUUUCAUCUUCUUAGUAGUAGGUUAGUUUUAGUUUAGCUAGUAGUUCAUCCUUUCUUGUUAUUAGCUAGAUUAAGAGAAGAUGGAGGAUGAAGAAGGCAAGGAAGAAAGCUCAUGUGACAAGGGUUGUAUUCCUUCCAAACUCUUUAUCUUUUGUACUUGAUUCCAAGUUUAGUUAAUAUACAAGUUCUGGAUUUUGUGUUUAAUAUGUGUUUUUAAAGUUUAUACCUUGGUUGGUUGAACUUUCUAUGAUUGUUAGUGUUAUUUAUUUGGUUAUUUGAUUGCUAUGAUUUGAGCAAGUUAUUUAGCACUUUGACUCUUUAAAUCAUGAUUAAUCUGGUACCAUUGAUUGUGAUUAUUUAAGGUGUUGUUUCUGCAAUGGAAAUUGAGAUUUAACACUAGUUCAAGAAGUGCUAAACAUAGGGAGUACACUCACGAAAGUAGAGGUGCACUUAUGUGGUUUUUAGUGAUUCAUUUCAUGUAAUUUCAUUGAAGAAAUGAACUUGUAGCUAAUUUCAUAACCAUGAAAAUAGUAUGGAUUAGUUAUGAGUAUAGUUGAUUCACUACGAAAGUAGGUUUCACAUGUUUAAGGAAAUUACACCAUAACUAGCCUAGAUGUAGUAUUCAAUGAUCCAAAUAUAGCACUUGCAUGAGUAGUUAGGGAUACCACAACCUAAGGAGCUUUCAUUUGCUAUUUUCUUGAAUAAUUUUAGUAGGUUUUAAUUUGUUAUAAUUCAUUGAUAGUCUAAAUAAUAGAGAAACUUUAGUAAUACCGGUAAUUGUUCACUCUUCCCUGUGGGAUCGACCCGAUAUAUACCCUAAACUACUAGUUGAUCUGUAUACUUGCAGUGAACGGGUGUAAUUCGGUAUUUUUUAACUUGCAUGUAUGUAAAAUACCCGUCAAUAGUUAAUAACAUAUAUGUUAUAAGGUUUUGGAAAAAUUUUGACAGAAUCUCCCUUAAAAGUGGACUAAAACUCCCUGCCAGCAACCACAAGAAACACCAUUUAAGCACAAGAAUUAUAUCAAACACAACUAAAACCACAAGUAUCACACAUAUUUCUCCCCCCCACACUUAAAUUACACAUUGUCCUCAAUGUGUAGGAAAGAAAUGAAACAAAAGAAGAAAAGAAAAGAAAGAAGUACUCCCCAAGUCAAUGGCUGAGAUCCUUAUCAGCCACUAAUCACGAACCACUGUCAAAUACAAGUACCUACCACAUAGAAAACAGAAAAAUAAAAUGAAGUUAAACAUCUUAAGUUCCACAAGUUAAGAUAAUUAGGCAAGCAAGUUCAUCAACUAAAGAUAGCUUCUGCAGUGUGCCAAGUCAGUCAUCCCCCUCAGCAUCAUCGUCAUCCUGUGCAUCACGAUUGGGCGGUGGAUGAAUGCCCAAAUGAUCUUCAUUCGGCUUAGACGAUUCCUAACGUCAGCGAACUGGAAUGCAAAGUCCUCCAUAUGAUCAAAAAGUCGCUGCCAAUUAGUUUUUGGUGGAGGAGGAGGUGGUGCUGCAGUAGAAGGUCCAGUUUCAUCCGGACCAUGUCUAGCCUUUUGUCUCCGCUCCUGAACAGGGCGUGGAAUGUCUCCCGUGCCAAUACCAAGGCGGCGAAGAGUAGUGAUAGUCAUCUCAGCACGUGGUGGAACAUACUCCCGCCGCAUGCCUUCCAAGGGAACCUCAAAACAGGGAAAGAUUAAAGUCAGUAGACGAGGAAAUGAUAGUUUGAAGGAAGUUGUCUUACGCCUCGCCGUAGACCUAAUGUGGCUGAUGAUGAUGUUAGGCAAUGAAAUCCGAGCAUAUGGAGAUGUCGGUUAUGGAACAUGUAAUCCAAGAAGUAGAUAUCGCUCUUGCGGACCUCCGUGUGCCCCGUCUUCUUUGGGAUGACAUUGUGAGCCAUCAUGUAAAUGAUAAGACGAUGACGAGGUUCGAAUACAUUUGCCAAUAUGUCUCCUUUCUGGUAGAGCGAAAAGGUUGGUACUCGAGACCAAACCUAGCCAUGGCCAAUGAGGGAUCCCACCUCCUAUUCGCGGGGAACAAACUCCUUCUUCAAGUCUACUGGACGUCCGUCAUCCAUACACCCCAAAAUAGCAGCCAAAUCUUGCCGUGACAAGGUGAUUCGUCUUCCACGCACCCAGGACUCUCAACUAUUUCUCCACUAUGGCGCGCCUUACUUUCAAUGUUGGCGUAAAACUCGCGCACCAAGUCUGGGUAGUAAUGGUUUGGAAGGGUGAAAUAGGAGCCCAUCCUAGCCUGAGCAAAAGCCUCUGAGAUGUUGUACAUCAUCUCAACUGUUGGAUUCACAUGCCAUCUCAAAACAGGAACUCCAAAUUAGCACGCUCCUCAUGCCAUUCUUGAUUCCUGCGAGUAUUGAACCUAGCACUGUCAAAAAUCGAUCUACCCGCUUCACGGGAGGUGCCCUCACCAGGUCGACGGUUAACUGGUGGAGGAGAAGGUGAAUUCUCCUCUUCAGUCACCUCCAUCUCUUCAUUAACCUCCCUCUCCUCACUACUAGAGGAUGAAAGUACCGCUCUUCUUCCCCUUGGCAUAGUACCUAAAAAAUAUUUCAAUUAUCCACAUGUACUACAACUCAUUAUUUGGCAACAAAAGUUCAGCAUUAAUCCAAAUAACCUCAAAUACAAUUGCUCAAGUUCUAAUCAUUCAAUGAUCGUACAAGACAUAUUUUAUGCCUAAAGUUGCCCAAAAUCACCAAAUUACACAAGAUAUGUAUCAAUUAUAAUUUAAUUAGUGAAAAUAGGAACAAUUAUGAUUAUAACUAUUUAGAAUUAACAAUAAUAAUAUGCUUUUAGCUAUAAUCAUGUUUAGGCAAAAAUUAAACUAAUUAACUCCCAAAUCAACCAAAUUACUCACUAUACACAAUGCACAUGCUUAAACAUCAUCAACUAACCAUUUUUAACCAUAAUUUAACAUCACCAAUGGCUCAAAACAUCCUAGUUCCUUUUUCCAAUUUCAUCUAAAUAUAGCAAUUGUGAAUUUUAAAGUACUUGAAAACCAAUAAAUUGCUACAUUUAAACAUUUAAACAUGCUUAAACAAUCAUAAUAAUCAUGAAUAAAAUCAAAAAUAGCCAUGAACCUCAUCAAAUUUUCGAAAUUAAAAGAUGUCAGAUAGCUCAGGAUAAAAAAUAUGAACUUCUAAAAUCAAAAGAUUUGAUGAAGAAACUUACCUCAAUCACGUAGAAGGAUGUUUGGUGAUGCUAAAAAUGCAAAAAGCCCUAUGAAACAACCUCCAAUUGACCUCCAAUUGAAGAAAUUAGAGUUUAAGAACCCUAACCUUCAAUCCUCAAAAACCUGAUUUUAGGUGUUUUUCUUGGAUUUUAAUCGGUUAAAAAGGUUGUAUGAAGCUCAAAAGGUGUUGGGGUGAUGAUUUCUAGCAAGAUUAUGGAGUAUAAAUGAAAUUUGUGAGUUGGGUAGAAGGAAGAGGGAAAAACGCGGCUGGAAAAAUUGGAGAAGUGAAGAAGAAAGCUGAAAUCGCGUUUCUGAAGGCUAUAUUCAGACACGAAAACGCGACUAAAAACGCGCCUUCAACUCGCGUUUUUGAAGUCGCGUUUCCUGCACAAAUCUUGCAGGAAUGAAAACGCGACUGUGUGGAAAACGCGACUUGAGUCGCGUUUCUGAAGUCGCGUUUUUGAGUCUUGAUCCAGGCUUGAAAACGCGACUUCCAUUAAAACGCGACUUUGGUCGCGUUUUGAAGGCGCGUUUUCUGUUCUGCAGGUGCAGAAUUGAAAACGCGAUUCUGAGAAACGCGACUUUAGUCGCGUUUUCUUUGAAAACGCGUUUUCUGCUUCGAUUUUUAGCAGAAUUUCAACUUUUGAAAAAUUACAAAAGGUACCCCAAUGACUCAAAAUGCAUCAUAGAUCAUUUGUUUGCCAAUUUUAAUGACUGGAACAAAUGUAAAACAUUAAAAACAUGCAUUUUACCCCUUUAUAAUGAAUCAAAAACACCUUUAACGCAAAUCGAGGGGUUGAGUUGUUUGAUCAAAGUUCGCCUUUUUUGUACUCAAUUGGUCAUCCUUGCCUUCAAUUGCCAACCCUACAUUACAAAAACAACAAUUUAGCUAAAACAUUGAUUCAAACCACAAAAUCACACCAAUUAACAAAUAUAACCUAAAUAUUGGGUUGCCUCCCAAUUAGCGCUUUUGUUUAUAGUCGUUGGCUCGACUCACACAUUCAGUUUCUUAAAUUGAAGAAGAGUCGCCCAAAAGACAUAUGAGUCCUUUGGGUACGAUUUCACCUGCCAAGUAGGGUUUCAAUCGUUGUCCAUUGACCUUAAACCUUUCAUUUCUUGAAUUUGCCACUUCAACCGCUCCAUAGGGAAAUACUUGAGUGACUUCAAAUGGUCCAGACCACCUUGACUUCAAUUUUCCUGGAAAUAACCUCAGGCGUGAAUUGAAUAAAAGCACUUUUUGCCCUACCUGAAAUUGUUUAGGAAUAAUGUGCUUGUCAUGCCAAUAUUUGAUCUUUUCUUUGUAAAUUUUGGCAUUUUCAUAUGCAUGUAACCGGUGUUCCUCCAAUUCACUCAGCUCAAGUAAUCUCCUUCCACCUGCAAGAUUAAAAUCUAUAUUAAUUGCUUUAAUAGCCCAAUAAGCUUUAUGUUCAAUCUCUACAGGUAAGUGACAAGCUUUUCCAUAGACUAAACGAUACGGCGACAUCCCUAAGGGAGUCUUAAAUGCCGUUCGGUAAGCCCAUAGUGUGUCAUCUAGCUUUGUAGCCCAAUCCUUGCGUGAUUUAUUCACAGUUUUCUCCAAAAUGAGCUUUAUCUCACGAUUAGCUAGCUCCGCUUGUCCAUUGGCUUGAGGAUGGUACGGGAGUGAUGUCUUGUGCCUACAACCAUAUUUAAACAAUAAGGAAUCCAGUUGUUUGUUACAAAAAUGUUUUCCUUCAUCACUUAUUAUGGCCUUAGGUAUGCCAAAUCUACAAAAAAUGUUCUUUUUAAGGAAUCGGAGUACAACCUUAGAGUCAUUAGUAGGUGAAGCGAUUGCUUCUACCCAUUUAGAAACAUAAUCCACUGCUACUAAGAUGUACUUAUUAUUAAAAGAGCUUGGAAAUGGUCCCAUAAAGUCUAUACCCCAUAUAUCAAAUAAUUCAACUUCUAAGAAGGUAGUUAGGGGCAUUUCAUUCUUUCGAGAUAUAUUUCCAGUUCUUUGGCAUGCAUCACAACUUUUAACAUAUUCCCGAACAUCUCGAUACAUAGUUGGCCAAUAAAACCCUGAUUGCCAUACCUUUGCCACAGUUUUUGAGGUGCUAAAAUGUCCACCUGUUUCAAGGUUAUGACAAUGAUAUAAAAUAUUAUGUACCUCGUUUUCGGGAAUACAUCUACGUACCAUACCAUCGGCACAAUGUUUAUACAGCAAUGGUUCCUCCCAAAAGUAACUUUUGACAUCAUGUAAGAAUUUCUUCUUUUGAUGGUAAUUAAUUCCCUUUGGAAUCUCUCCACUUACCAAAAAAUUAGCAAUAUCAGCAUACCAUGGAGAAUUGAUAAUUGCUAGGACAAACUCAUCCGGAAAUUCUCUUGAAUAGGAACUUGAUCCUUGACUGGAAUAUAUUCUAGGCGUGAUAGAUGAUCCGCUACUAGAUUCUCUGUUCCCUUUUUGUCUUUUAUUUCCACAUCAAAUUCCUGCAAUAAAAGAAUCCACCGAAUUAGUCUUGGUUUUGCAUCUUUUUUAUGUAACAAAUAUUUAAGAGCCGCAUGGUCCGUAUAUAUAAUAACUUUAGAUCCUACUAGAUAAGAUCUAAAUUUAUCCAAAGCAAAUAUCACUGCCAAUAGCUCUUUUUCUGUAGUUGCAUAAUUGAGUUGUGCUCAUUUAGCAACUUGCUAGCAUAGUAAAUGACGUGCAACCGUCCUUCUUUCUUUUGUCCCAAAACUGCUCCAACCGCAUAAUCACUUGCAUCACACAUCAAUUCAAAUGGUAGUGACCAAUCAGGCGAAGUUAUAAUUGGGGCCGAAAUCAAUUCCUUCUUCAACCUUUCAAAUGCAACCAAACAAUUGUCAUCAAAUUGAAAAGGAGUAUCUUUACAUAAUAAAUCACAUAAUGGCUUUACUAUUUUAGAAAAAUCUUUAAUAAAACGUCUAUAAAAGCCAGCAUGUCCUAAAAAACUCCUUAUCCCCUUGACAUUGCUUGGGGGUGGCAAUUUUUCGAUGACUUCUAUUUUGGCUUGAUCCACCUCAAUUCCCUUGGAGGAAAUCUUGUGUCCUAAAACAAUUCCUUCUUUUACCAUAAAAUGACAUUUCUCCCAAUUCAGUACAAGAUUUGUUUCCUCGCAUCUCUGCAAAAUCAAUUCCAAAUUAUGAAGACACUGAUCAAAAGAUGAACCAUACACAGAAAAAUCAUCCAUAAAUAUCUCCAUAAUUUUCUCAAUAUAAUCAGAAAAAAUAGCCAUCAUGCAUCGUUGAAAAGUUGCGGAGCAUUGCAUAACCCAAAUGGCAUUCUUCUAAAGGCAAAAGUGCCAUAAGGACAUGUAAAUGUGGUCUUCUCUUGAUCCUCUGGAGCUAUAGCUAUUUGAUUAUAUCCUGAAAAACCAUCAAGAAAACAGUAAAAUUCAUAUCCGGCUAUUCGCUCCAAUAAUUGAUCAAGAAAUGGUAGGGAAAAUGAUCUUUUCUUGUUACCGUAUUUAACUUACGAUAAUCGAUACACACUCUCCACCCUACCACAAGUCUAGAUGGAAUUAAUUCAUCAUUUUUACCCACGAUUGUAGUCAUUCCACCUUUCUUUGGUACCACAUGAAUUGGACUAAUCCAAACACUAUCGGAGAUAGGAAAAACUAUACCUGCGUCAAGCCAUUUAAGAAUUUCAUUUCUUACCACCUCUUUCAUGUUUGGAUUGAGUCUUCUUUGUGUUUCCACCACUGGUUUGCAACCGUUCUCCAAUAAAAUUCGAUGCAUGCAUAUAGAAGGACUUAUACCUUUAAUGUCUGAAAUUGUCCAUCCAAUUGCCUUCUUACGCCUUCUUAGAACUCUUAACAACUUUGCACACUGUUCAUCAUCAAGGUCAGCACUAACAAUUACAGGUAAAGUUUUAUUUUCUCCAAGAAAUUCAUACCUUAGAUGAGUCGGAAGUGGCUUGAGCUCUAACUUUGGAGGUUCAAUUUCUGAAGGUUGUGAAAACCCUUUUCCUUGGCCAAGACUUUCAUACAAAUUACCCCUUUUAUAAGGUGCUUGAAAAUCCAAGUAUUGGCCAAUUCUUCAAUUUCUUCACAAACAUCUUCUUGCUUACCUAAACUCAUUAAACAAUACUCAAGAGGAUCUAAGUCAAAGUUGACUUGACUCAUCUCUUGGGUUAGUUUAUCAAUUGUGCCAAUAGAAUAAGCAUGAUCGGUAAAAGAAGGGUAUUUUUCCAUUUCAUUCAAAUUAAAUUCUACCUCUUCUUCACCUACUUGAAACUUAAGCUUGCCAUUUUUUACAUCAAUAAUAGUACCUGCAGUAGCUAGAAAUGGUCUACCUAGAAUAAUUGGCAUAGAUAUAUCUUCUUCCAUAUCUAAUACCACAAAAUCCACUGGAAUGAUAAAUUUUUGAACUUUUAUCAAUACAUUCUCCAACACUCCCAAUGGAUAUCUAAUAGACCGAUCCGCUAGUUGCAAAGUGAUAUUAGUGCGUUUAAGCUCAUGCAAACCCAAUUGUCUAGCCACCGUUAAAGGUAUUAAUGAUACACUAGCACCAAGAUCACACAAUGCCUUAGAAAAAUCAACGUUACCUAUGGUGCAAGGUAUAGAAAAACUCCCCGGAUCCUUCAACUUCGGUGGUAGCUUAUUUUGAAUAAUUGCACUACAUUCCUCCGUUAAUGCUAUUGUUUCGCAGUCUUCCAACUUUCUUUUUCUAGUCAUGAUUUCCUUGAGAAAUUUCGCAUAAGAUGGAAUCUGCAAAAUAGCAUCGGCAAAAGGAAUGUUAAUGUGCAAUUGUUUGAAAAGUUUAACAAAUUUUUCAAAAUCUUUAUCAAACUUAUUUUGCUUUAAUCUUUGUGGAAAUGGAACCGCAGGGGUAUUGGAAUGGUAGUGGAAGAUGAUGGUUGCUUUUCUCUUGGAUUCUCCCGACUAUUUUCCUCCACAAUCGCCUCUUGGUUCCUCUGCUUUUCUUCUUGUUUUUCAUUCUCAUCUUUCUCAACUUCCUUCACUGGAGGAUCUUCUAAUUGUCUACCACUACGAAGAGUAAUGGCUUUCACAUGCUCCUUAGGAUUGACCUCUGUUUUGCUAGGUAAUUCUCCUUGAUUUCGAUUAUUCAAAGAACUAGCAAUUUGACCAAUUUGGACCUCUACAUUCCUGUACAUUGUAGUGAGUUGGUCCAACUUCCUUCUACUCGCUCAAAUCUGUCCGAGGUAACUUUUGCAAGCUUUUCCACUGCCAUCUCCCAACCAGGUUUAGUUUCAGCUUGUUGUUGCCUUGAUUGAAAUCCCGGUGGAUUGGUUGGCCUUGGUUGAUUUCCUUGAUCCUUCCAUCCAAAGUUUGGAUGAUUUCUCCACCCCGGAUUGUAAGUAUUCGAGUAGGGGUUAUUUUGAGCAUUACGAUUGUAAUUAUUGACGAAUUGUACCUGUCAGAAUCAACACACUCAUUACUAUCAUGUUCACACAUAUAGAACAACAUGCUACAUGUGCAUUAGAUGAACUUGGACCAACUCCACCUUGUCUACUUAGCAAUUUCAUCACAUUAUUCAUUUGAGCACUCAAUAUUGAGAGUGUCCAUUUCGAUCAUACCUGCGUGACGUCUUGUAUUACCUCUCUCAUUGGCCCAUUGGUAGUUAUUUGCUGCCAUUUCUUCUAUCAAAUUAUGAGCUCUUGGGGUGAUUUACCCAUUAAAGCUCCACCUGCAGCUGCAUCGAUCAUAGUUUUAGUAGAAAAAACUAAACCAUUAUAGAAGGUUUGUAUGAUUAACCAUUCCGGCAGUCCAUGAUGUGGACAUUUCCGAAGCAAAUCUCUAAACCUUUCCCAUGCCUCAUAUAAUGAUUCUCCUUCCAAUUGGCUAAAACUAGUGAUAUCCAUUCUAACUUAGCAGUCUUACCUGGUGGAAAAUACUUAUUUAAGAAUGCUCUUGAUAGUUCAUCCCAUCCAGUGAAAGUAUUAGGAGCAUGAGAGUGUAGCCAAAGUUUGGCCUUAUCUCUCAAUGAAAAUGGGAACAAUCUUAGCCUUAUGCAUCAUCACUAACUCCAUUCAUUUUAAUUGUAUCACAAAUUUCCAAGAAUGUAGCUAAGUGUGUAUUAGGAUCUUCUACUGCAUUACCUCCAAAUUGAGAUUGUUGAACCAUUUGGAUAAGUGAUGGUUUAAUCUCAAAAUUGUUAGCAUUUACCGUAGGCCUUACUAUGCUUGUUUGAGAUCCUUGUGUUCCCGGUAGAGCAAAUCUCGUAGAACUCGCCUAUUUGCUCAUUUUCGGCCAUCUCUUCCCAAAUGGUAGUUCUAUCAAAAUUUCCUCUAUCGGUUGCCAAAUCUCUUGUUCCUCUUGCUGUUGUGUGUGCCUCCUUUGUCUAUGUAGUGUCCUCUCAAUUUCUGGAUCGAAAGGUGCGACUUCUCGAGACUCCCGGUGCAUACACUACAAACAGAAAUAAGGGAUAUUAUGCAACUUCAAUGGUAAAAAAAAACUGAUUACAAUAAAGAUUAAAUAUAAUCUAAAAAAUAAAGCUGUCUAAAUUAAUAAAGAUGAUUAGGCUCUAAUAUUGCCGCUCCCCGGCAACGGCGCCAAAAACUUGACGGGUUUUUACUUUAAGUGCAAGUUUAAUUCCGAAUUUACACCCGUUGGACUGCAAGUAUACAGGUCGCAAUUGUAGUACGAGAUGUGUAUCGGGUCGAUCCCACGAGGAGCAAUUUAAAACAAUUAUUAGAUACUAAUUUACUCUAUUAUUUAGACUCACAAUUAAUUUGAGCAGAAACUUCAGAUUUAAUUCAACUACAAAAAUUCUUAAAUAGAUAAAUGCAAUAUCUCAAGGAGUAGAAUUCACUAAAUAUUAAGAUCUAGGGAUGUAGAUUCCACUUAUGACACAAAAGAUCUAAAAUGAAUUAAUUCAACACUUGUUACUGCUCUUGUUUAACCAAGGAUUCAUUUCCAGAAAUACCAAAAUCACAUUCUCAUGAUAAUAAUGGGUUAAAACAGAUUAGUUUUUCCUAAUCUCUUGGUAAAUACUAAAUCUGUUCUUAUUCACACAUGAAAUGCAGAUUUCAUCCACUUGAAUGUAUUUCUAUUCUCAUGAAUAUACAACUCAAGUUCUACUUGUGUCAUUCCAUUAUUUUUACCAUUUCUCAAUGAGUAAAAAUAACUAUAAACCUGCUAUUGGUGAUCAAGCAACAACAAGUAAUCCAACAUACACAAGUAGAUAAGUUAAUACAAGACAUAACAAGAUAAUAACAAUCACUUCAUAUCAUUUGGCCAUAAGCUUCAUCUACUCCCUAGAUAAAGGAAAUUAGCUACUCAUGAAUGAUAAAAACUCAUAACUUCAUUAAUGUAAAUCAUCAUGAAUUACAAAUACAAAAGAGUAAAGAAAGUCUUAGCCAAGAUAUGGUGAAGCCUUCCAAAAAUCUCCUUUGUCUUGAACUUAGAUGAUUACAAGAUGAAAUCCAAUUGCCCUUGCAAGUCCUAGGUAGAGAGAAUAUGUUUUUCUGUAAGAAGCUAAGCUACGAAUGGAUCCCAGACCUCUCCCCAUAUUUCUGCAUAAAAGGUGGUAGAAAUUCCAUUCCUCUCACUUCAUAAUUUCCUCCACUCAGAUUUUGUAAAAAGAAGUCAAAGAUAUGAUGUUUCCUUUUGUCCACACUCAUUUGGUCUUCUCUUUUAUUGCAGAAGCAUGUGCACCGAAUUCCCUUGCAUCUUAUAGCUGGAAAGUGGUAUGAACACAAGAGAAUUGACUGAGUCAAAUUGCAGAAUUUCGGCUAUAAAACGCGCCUACACAAAACGCGGCAUAACUCGCGUUUUGUCUACUCGCGUUUUCACUCUGGCCUUAUUUCAACUGCAAUUUUCUCCAUGAUGCAGGCCGAACUAGCUUUUGUGCAAAACACAAAAGUUGUAGCCCUUUGAGUUAGCUUUCCAAUGCUUCAAGAAUCAUCCAAAUCGGAGCUUUGUACCUGAGAUAUGAUCGAAAUACUGUCACCUGUUCAAACCUCUGUUUUAACUUCCGACCACAGAAUGCAGCUUCUGUAUUCCAACGUUUUGCCCAUGAAGAUGGCAGAAAUGGAUUUCGAUGUCUUCAUACGAAUUGUAGGUCUCUUUCUUAGCUUUAAAAUGGUAUAAAGAUCACCUCAAUCCGAUAAGUGUAGCUCCAGAUAUGGUCAAAAUACUGAAGAGUGUCAAAACUGACUUGAAGUGCAAUUCUUCAUUUGAACGUUUUUCACUUCAUUUUUCUUUUCACCACUUAAUUUCAUCACCAAAUCUCUAUUUUUCACCUCAUUUGCCAUCCUUUGGUGAUUGAGUCAUCAUUCCUGCAUAAAAAUGAAGGUUUUACCAUUAAAAUCACUAAAAUGCAAUAUUAUCCACUUUUACCAAAAAUAUAUAAUUUUACCAAAAACCUCUUUAUUUUAUUUAUAAAACUAAAUAAUCAACUCAAAAUUAACUAAUAAAAUGCACUUAAAAAUACGUAAAAUAAACUCUUAUCACAUUAGGGUAGUGGCAUGAGGGCGAGAGUGGCAGUAAGAGGGUAGUGGCUGGUGGUGACUUUUUUUUUGGUGAUUUUAAGGUGAUUUUUGGAAAGUAUUUUUGUAGACUUGUAUCACAAAUAUUGGUUUUGUUAAAAAAAAUGCAAAUGCAAAAGAGCCUUAAAUAUUUAAGCAUUAAUGACAACGAGUACGAUGCCAAUUGAUUGGUUUUUUAACCCACAUUUUUACACGUUUUUCCAAUCUAUAACAUAGCUAGUAAUGAAUUACAAAUUUGUACAUUUUUAAAAUGAAAAGUAGAAGGAAAUAUGGAAAGGAUAGCUAUAGGUAUUCACAUCUCUCACACAAUUAGCUAGUGAUUUUUCACUAAACCAUUGUUAGAAAAUGAAUACCAUUAAGACAUUUUAGUUCUUGAAACUUCAAUAGCCCCAAUUUAUAACAAUCAACUAAAUAUACAAGAACUCUACUAGCAAUCCAACUAAUUGGCUCAAAAAGCAAUUGAGUAUAACUUGUGUUAUACAUUUAUCAAAUGCAUAUUCCAUAUUACAUAUGUGAACAAUUCCAUAUGUUCACCUAAUAAUAUGGCCACUAAUGUGCAAACAAAUGAUGAAUCAAGUUUAUUUCAAUUAAAUAUUUAACCAUUAAAUGUUCAUGAUAUGGAACCAAAUGCAAAAUAAAUAGAUUCUUAAAAUUAUUAUAAUUUAUGAAGCGUUACAAAUAUUUUUGACAUCUUGCUCAAACAAAAAAGUUAAUGUUGUUGAAAUGCGGUGCUAAAUGUCAAAUAACUAAGGGCCCAUUUUGAUGGUAUAUUUUUUGAAUGUUUGCAUAAACUUUACUAUAACUUACUGUAGAAAUUAUAGAAAACUUUUGUGUAUUUAGGGUUUGAAAAAAUUGAAAACCUUUUUUCUUCCUUUUUUGCCUUUUUUUUCUUUCUAUCCUUUUUCUUCUUCCUCCCUAUAGUAGACCCUUUCUUCCCCCUCCCUUCCAUCCCCCGCGCCGCCACCAGCUACCACUCUUCCUUCCCUCUCUUUUUUAUUUCUCUCUUUCUCUCCCUCCCUCCUAACCACUACUACCAUUGCCGAAGCUGUAGCUUGAGCAGAUAAAGUCUCCUUAAUUUUGUUCUUUUGAUCUCCUCUUAUUUCCACUAGAUUUGUCAUCCUCUUCGGUGACGGCCUCUUAGAUGAGCUAGAUCUAGGAGAUUUCUCUCCAAAUUUAUUAGCUCCUACUACGGGGGAGGUUACGAACAAAGAUGUUGAUGAAAAUGGCAACAAUGUGGAGGCAGAUGAUGUGGCAUUGACGAAUUUCUAGCACAUAUUAUUUGUCGCUAGAUUUCCAGUAUCAUUGCAGUUAUUAACACAAGGCGUGACGAUCUCCGGUAUGACUUUGAAUUCCAUCUGUUCUUUCUCUAUCUUCUAGGCCAUUUUCAGCCUUUCAGGCCAUGAAAUUUAUUUAAAAAAAACAAAUUCAAUAGACAAUCAACUAAAAAACCUUUGUAAAUUAAAUUUGAAUAAUUAUUAUAAGAGGAAAAUAUGAUCCAAGAAGGGAAAAUUGGGGAUUUUCUCUAAAGAGGAAAAAUUGGGCAGAGAAGAUAAGAAGGGGGUAUUGUGGGGGGAAGGGAGGGGAGAAAUGCAGCAUAAAGUAUGGAGUUUUAUGGGGGAAGGGGUGGAGAGAGAAGAAAGGAAAGAGAUGAGGAAAAAAAAGCAAAAAAAAAAAAAAGAAGUGGAGGGAAAGAGUGGUGGCCGACAGUGGUGGUGCCGAUGGCAGCAGGCGAGUGUCUAAGGUGAGGAGGAUGAAGAAGAAGAAGUGAGGAAGGGAAGAAAAAACUUGUGUAUUUUUGGUAUUUUGAGUGUGUAUUUUAAAAAUUUUGGAGUGUUUCUUAAGAGUUAAUAUCGACAAAAUUGUUAAAAAAAAAACUUGCUUAUUAAAAAGAGGGCAAAAGACAUAGCUUCCAAACAAGGCCUAAGUUAUGGGAAAAAAGGGGGGGGGGAUUUUAAGCAAUCCUUGUGAACAUCUUUUCAAUGCAUCCACUAAGAGAACGUAUGUUGUUGGAUAGUCGAAAAAAAUUUUAAUCAAGUAUUGGUACUUAUUAAAUGCAUGCGUGCAAGUAGGUCUAAUUUAUUUUGACAUAACUAAAAAAAUUUGCAAAUUUGUUUAGCAUGGUAAGUUUGCUUUCGCAUAGUACCGCGUCUUCUAGUGCUUUAUUCCAUCCAUAAGUAACUUCAUUAUCUUUUCAUCCAAAACAUGUUUAUUGCAGCAACCUUCUCAUAGGUGUUGAUCCACAUGCCUUGUAAACCUAUAAUCCCGAUUUUUAGUGUAUCUUGACUGUCAAAAUUUUAGUAAACAUCAAUUGUAGAAGGGGGUUAGAAGCUUACUUAAGAAGAUUAUCAAUCUCAUUAACUUGAUUUUGAGCCCAAAAGGGAGUUACAUUUUUGCUGAUUUCCAGUCUGGCUAGUAAUGAAUCCAAGAUUUCAAUAUUUUAAUAAUGAAAACUAGAAAGAAAUAUGGAAAGGGCAGUUAUUGGUAUUACUAGUUUUGAAAGGAGUUUGUAAUGGUUCGUAAUAGAUGGAAUGGCAAUAACAAUAUCAAACACUUGAGCUUGGUUGUUCGCUGUCCUACCAACCAUAUGGUUUUGGUACCAAUAAUUAAGCAUUCAAUAGAGGUAUUCUAUUCUAUGUUCAUGUCAAAGAUUUACCAUCACAAUAAAGUAUAGUCUCCUCAGUAUGUUUCUAGGAGCCUUAGUAUUUAAUGGCAAUAUCAAUAUCAAGCACUUGAGCUUGGUUGUUCCUGUCCUACCAACUGUAUGGUUAUGGUACCAAUGAGUAAGCCUUCAAUAGAGGUAUUCUAUUCUACCGUCGUGUCAAAGAUUUACCAUCACAAUAAAGUAUAGUCUCUCAGUAUGUUUCUAGGAGCCUUAGUAUUCAUAAACCAGUUGCUCGGACCAUUUGUCUCACCUUCUUUCCCUAGCCAACAGUGUUAUUGAUAGAGCAGUUAUUUGGCACAUUUUGCAUUGUCAUCUUGUCAUAAUUUUGGCUAUUCAUGGUGCUAAGAAAUGGAAUUUCACUCAUAUUUGAUAUUUGUGUGAAUUGUAGGUGUUAGCAUUAAAAAUGAUAUCUUGAGGUGAAUUUCCAGAAGACUUCUCAUUUCAGGGCGUGGCCACGCCAGACAAGGCGGACGUUACCGAAAAGCCGGACCCCGGUCCACGUGAACCGCAAGGAGCACGGGAUUAAAACUCCAAAAGGCUAGCUUUUGUUUCAGUCAAUUGGGUCAGACGUGACUCGGCUCUUAAAGCUUCAAUUAAAAAAGAAAAGAAAGGGCCAGACGUCGGGGGAAUGAGAUGAGGAAACUAGGUCCACAUGGACCAGCUACACGGGAUAAAAACUCCAAUAAAGAGAAGAGCUCUGCUCCGCGUGGAUUUUCCCUGCGGCGCUAUAUAAGACAACAAAAAAAGGGGAUGCAGGCAGAGGAUAGAUUAGCUUUGAUUUUCUUUUCGAGAGGGUCAGGUGAUUGCAGACUUUUGUAGCUUUUCAGUUGCGACACUUUGACUCCUUGGCUUUUGUUUUGACUCUGCACAAUUUACGUUAGCUUUUGUUCGUACACUGGCGGCUCUAAAGCAAAGACGAAGGCAGGGCCUUCUCUGUUGUUACUGCAAUUAAUUCCCCUUUCCCAAUUCUUCGUUGAAUAAUUGAAUGAUUUCAAUUAAAUCACGCGGGAUUGGCACGAUGAGGAGCGGCUAAUUUUCUCCUCUACCCAAAGGUUGACGCAAGGGCGGCGUCCAUAAUAUCUGUGAGAUCUAAUCGAAUCUUCAUUAUUUCUUUCAAUUUAUUGCUAUUCGUGCGUUUCCUGAAUUAAUUGUUCAUGGGUAUUUUAUUAAUUGAAUAUCAACGGCCGGUAUUUGAUUUAAUUAAUAGCCUACUGCCUCGUUAAUUAAAUAGAAUCCGUAAUUAUUCAUUUAGUUAACACCUCGUGGCAACCACCAUAAUUGGCUUUAUGAUGGGGAAGCGUAAGAUCUAGCUUAAAUAAACCUCUUAGCGUGUUUAUUGGUUAGGGUUGAGUUCUUCUAGUUUUAAUGCAAUUGGGUAAUUAAAUUCCUACGGUCGUACCUAGGGUUGUUAUCUAGUUAGGGAAGCAGUUAAUGGUCGUACCUUGACUGUCGAAAAAGUAAGGAAGAACUGGUUGUCAGAACUUGUUGAUAACUAUAACCAACCUAGUGAUGAAUGGAUGAGAUAUCUUUGCAUCGAUGAUCGUUUGAUUAGACCGUGCCUGAGCAGUUAAUCCUUUGGGUAGAAUUUUAUUAAUUGCUAUUUUUAGUGAAUUGUGCUUUGUAAGUUUGGUUUUGAAUUUAGUUUCGCUUUAUUUUUAUUUAUUUGUUUGCUUCCCAUUGAAAAUCCCCCAAUUCCAUUCUACUAAUUUGGAAAGAAAUAAUUUCCUACCCGCUCCCUGUGGAAUCGACCUUACUUGCCAUUGUACACAAAAGUAAUAUUCUUAUAGACUAAUAUGGUAUAUCGGAUCAAGCAAACUUUUCGGGAACAGGGUGAAUCAAGUAACCCAUUGCACACCUAGGGUCCCUGCUCCAGUACUUGGAUUUGUUCUAUAAUUAUUUGUGGUGGUAAUUAGGACUUUUUAGUAAUUAUUAUUGCACAGAUUCGGCACCUGUCAAUUUUUGGCGCCGUUGCCGGGGAGCAGGCAUUUGGAUUACUUGUUUCUUUUCAAAUUCAGUUUUUAUUUUAUUUUAUUCUUCUUGGUAUUUUUGCUAGUUUAUGCCCCAUUCUUCUCGCACAGGUGAAUUGGUAUACGAUCCUGAGGUUGAGAAGGCAGCGCGUAGGCGGAGGCAAGAGACCAAGAGACAAAAAGGAGGGCACUUAUUUGCUGCACACGAGUCAGUGGAAGACGAAGUAAGCAUAGCCAACAUCCAAACAUUAAGGGAGCUGGCUGCUCCGGAACUGACUCACCAGCCCUUAUGCAUCACAUUCCCCACUUUGGCUUAGAAUACUGCUUUCGAACUGAAGUCGGGGCUGAUUCAUCUCUUACCUUCUUUCCAUGAUCUCUCUGGCGAAGAACCCAACAAACACGUCAAGGAAUUCGAGGUGGUUUGCUCUAGUAUGAAACCUCCUGGGGUCACUGAAGAGCAAAUUAGACUGAGAGCCUUCCCUUUUUCCCUCAAGGAUGCAGCGAAGGAUUGGUUAUACUACCUACCCGCAUGUAGUAUUACAACAUGGGCCCAACUUAAGAAGAAAUUUUUGGAAAAAUUCUUCCCUGCAUCCCGGGCUGUAAGUCUAAGAAAAGAAAUAUGUAGCAUUAAGUAGUAUCCGGGGAGUCCCUAUAUGAUUAUUGGAAAGGUUCAAUAAGUUGUGCACUAGAUGCCCACAGCAUAAAAUUAGUGAACAACUAUUGAUCCAAUACUUCUAUGAGGGACUACAGACAUCCGACAGGAGUAUCAUUGAUGCAGCAAGUGGGGGAGCAUUAGCGAACAAAACACCAAGGGAAGCAUGGCUACUCAUUGAGUCGAUGGCAGAAAAUUCUCAACAGUUUGGCUUCCGUGAGAGUAAUCCUACCCGUAGGGUCAACGAGGUAGAGACGUCGUCCAUUCAGCAGCAGAUAUCGGAGCUGACAUCUUUUGUACGACAAUUAGCCGUGGGAAACAUGCAUUAAACAAAGGCCUGUGGAAUCUGCACAAAUGUGGGCCACCCCACUGACUCAUGCCCUAUGUUGCAAGAGAAUGGGGCUGAACAAGUGAACAUGGUUGGAGGCGUGCCCGCGCCUCAAAGACCGUACGACCCAUACUCCAACACGUACAACCCUGGUUGGAGAGAUCACCCAAUUUUAGCUAUGGUAAUAGGCCACAAAAUGCAUUCCCCAAUCGUCCACCAGGAUUUCAGCAACCUUGGCAACAGAAGUCCCAACCCUCGUUCUCAAUUCAAGAAGUUCUUUGGAGGAAAUUGUCAAGAGUUUGGCCACGACUACCACUCAGCUCUAGCAGGAGACUAGAACCCUACACUACAAGAAAUUUGGUCAUCAGUGACAACUGAUUAUUAUCACAGAAAAUGUAAAAGUCGUCACUAACGUGUUUUACUGACAACAUUUUAGUUGUCACAAAGUCGUCAGUGAAUCUCUGUCGGUAAAGGUACACAGUCACAACAUUAAAUGUCGUCAAUAAAUGUUAUUCAUUAGUGACAAUAAUAAAUACAUAUAUAUACGACAUCACCCUUAUCAAUGAUGCUCGUAGUAGUGUCGUCAAUAAAACCUUUUCAUAGUUGCCGUUGGUAUUGAUUGGUUACUCACAACUCUUUAGAGUCGUCACUAAAAAUGGCUCUUUACUGACAACAUUUAUCAUCACUAUAUACCUUUUUGUUAUACACCCUAUUUAGUGACAACUUUUUUGUUGUUAGUGGAGAAAUCUGAUUAGUAACAAUAUAUUGUCACUAUGAAACCUGAUACAAACGAUUGUCCUAAAAGCAACCAAUCCAACAGUACAUCAAAUUAGAACCAUAUAAGGCCUGCUAAUUAAUAUCUAAAAGCAUCCAUUAUACUAAAAAGGAAUCCAACAAUUCAUCAAAUCAAAAGAACCAUAAAAGGCCUGCUAAUUAAUAGCUAAAAGCACCAUUAUGCUACAAAGGACCAAAAUAUAAUGUUUAAGUUCAAUGUCAUCCUACAAAUACUACAAUAGAAGUGGUACUGUGUAACCCAAAUUGUUCAUGCAAAGUCAAUCAAGUUUACAAAAAGCAUCCGAGCCUCAAAAGUCAUAAAAACUUCCAAAACACUUCACGAGCCAAAAAAGAAGCUUUAUCUUCAUCCUUCUUGAGUCCACUUAGUAGCUGUGAAUUUUGCACAAAAUCUGACAUAGUAGCAUUUGGCUGCAUAAAGUAGUAUAACAAUAGUAAGUAACAAGCAUUUUGAAAAGGAAAAAAUCUUAGAUUUACUUAUCACAAACUCAAAUAAUGAGUAGGAAAUUAUUAAGGAAAAGAAUAAAGAAGGUGAAGAAUUGUCAUAACAAGAACAAUAUCCCAAAUGAACUCAAAAGUUAGCUAUUAAAGUAUUAGUAAUGUCAAUAACUUAUUUAUAUUCUAUAUGUUCUACUGAAGACAAAGGAUUGUUACUUAUAAAAAUUAGCCAUGGAUAACAUAAAACAAUGAUUCGCUGCAAAUUGAUGUGCUACAAUAACUUGAUUAAGUUCAUUCUUCAACCCGUAAAAGGUUAUUUUAAAUUAGCUUACUACCCAAAAUUAAACCAUCUAUAUAAAUGCCCUCAUUAAGUCAAUUGGGCAGAAAAUUAUGUCCAUGAUUCAUAUUGCACUUGAUUUGUACUAUUACAAAUCUACCUUAUUAAAAGUAUGAUCAGAAAAAGGUUUUGCCAUGCAUUACGAGCAUCAAUUAGCAACUCUGGAGUACAAAUCUACCUUAUUAAGUUUUAUUGCCAUGCAUUACGAGCAUCAACUUUAGUCAAGUUGUCAAUAAAACUUAUCAGUGAUGACUUUAAUGUGUCGUCGAAAAAUUUCUUGAGUAUAGGAUUUUCUCUACAGUUCUUGAGUCAAUUAGCAACUCUGGCUGCUGAUCUUCCAAAAAUCUAAAAUGAGCGACAUAUCUGCAGUGAAGUACUUCAAUUAUUAGUAGGUGAUAAUAAAAACUUGAGACAAGAAAGAGAACUUAGAAAUUUGCAAGAAAAUAAGCUGAAUCAUUUCUUUUAUGUAUCGUCUAGACAGUGACUGAACAAGAGCAAAGUAAGAGAUAAAGCACUUGAAACUUUAGAACUCAAGAAAGCUUCAGAUUGGCUUCAAAAACUCACUAAUUUCAAAGACUGGACACACAUGCUCGGAGUACAAGUACUACUAAAAUGAAAAUGUAUUAUCAAGUAAUAACAAUCAAAUGUAAAGACAAAAAAUUUAUGUAUGAAUGAUUACAAUCGUAUCCAAGUACCGGUGUAGUAAUAAUAAUGAAAUCAGUAACAUAGCAAGUAUAGCAGAUAAGUUCCAUAACAUUAUAAAGCUCAGAAACAAGUGCAAUAGAAAUGAAAAGAGCAUGAUAAUCAACUGCUUUGAACCUCUAAUUUAGCUUUGAUUGAAAAACGUAUUCAGCACACCAUGCUAAAACACUUGAGUAAAACAAAAGCAAGAAUAUUAUCAUCCUUAUGAAAUUAAAGCUGUCAAACCAUACAACUAAAUUAAAUUAAUGCACAAAAUCAACCAUGGAACUGCAACCCAUUAAAAAAAUGCUACUGCAAAUAAAUACUUACAGUGUCAUAAUCCAUUAAGAUAAUACAAACUUUCACCACAAUAUAUCCACAUAUUAUAACUAUAGACAAUUCGCCUACACAGUAAUCAGCCAUGACAUCUAAUUAGAAGAAUACAGACCAGUCAAUUUAUGGUAUUCUUUUAUGCAAAAUUUGUUUUCACCCAUGUGACAACCACUUUGAAAUUUCAUAAGAAUAAAAUCUGGAAAGUCACAUGAAUACAUUGCCCGUGUAACUAAAACUCGUGCAACCAAAGCCCACAAAUCAAACAGAGUUCAUAGAUCAUAUUACAAACUUUUGAGAUGAUGUCCGUGUUUAUUCCCUACUUAUCACUAAGUUCAACUUAUAUCCUAGCAUGAAAGCUUAGUACACACUUUUAUAGCAAGACAAUUACAUAAUUCAGGUUUAAACACAAAGACUAGUCCAACUAGUUAUGUUAAGAAAAGUAUCCAAAUCUGAGUUUUUUUUUAAAUCUCCCUUUUGACAUUCAACUGGCUACUGUAAUCAGUGCAACAAAAAGCUGACUGAAACUCGUCAAUCACUAGUCUAGAGCACAUAGGCAUCAAAACUUCUCAGAAGCAGAGCAAACUACACAAGCUCGACAGCUUCACUACUUUAUCUUCUAUGGCAAACUCUCCUUUCAUUUAACGUCAACAGUGGAAAAUGCGGGCCAGAUGCAAAUCUCUAAAAGAUUCUAGAUAACAUAGGAAGACAUACAACUGUGAGUCUGUGAUGCAAUAGUAAAGAAAAAGUAAACAAAGAGCCACUGAAUAUUGGAAGUGAAAGAAGAAAACUUCAGAUUGAACAAGCCAAUUGUCAGGACUAAGCGUUCGAUAAACAUAACUUGAAGUAAUUCUCCAUGCAUCAAAUUAUUUCCACAAAGAAAAAAGAAGCAUACACAUUAUUUCCACAAAGAAAAAAGAAGCAUUAAGUUUUCAUUUCCUGAAUCAACCUUACAGAAAAUGCCUUCCAAUCCAAAUCUGAGUAUUUAGUGUUAUUGUAUGAGACUUGAUGUACACAUAACACCUGGAAUAUACAAUCUAUACCCAGAUUAGAAAAGGGAACUUUUCCCACAAGUCAUUACUUCACCAGAAACACCAAGGAACCAUAUAUGAACGCAGGAAAGAACUCUAUUUUACUAACACAAACAAUUAAAGAACAUUACUUUAGCAUUUACCAAUAAUUAAGAAUGCUAUGAGAUGUAGUUACACAAAAACAGAUUGAGCUAAGAUGCUAGAAGUAGAACAGAUUCAUUGUACCAAACAAAGAAGAAAAGUAAAUCCAAACUACAAUCAAAAAUGAAAAGAAAAAAUUCCCUUCAAUUAACCAAAAAUAGCCCAUAGUUAUCACUCUCGGGCAAAGCACAAAAGAGACGGGAAGAAGAAAUAGAAGUGAUUACCCUCUUGGAAACGAACGAAUGUUUCGUGUUGCAACCUUGGAGAAAAUUGAAGUACGCAGUUCUGGAGGAAAAAUCAUUCAGCCAGAGCAAUAAAUAUUUUGAGGUAAAUGAGUAUGCUAUUAUGCCUCAUUUAAAGCUUGUCUAAUUGCCUCAUCUAAUUUGGUCAUUAUUAUUCAAUUCUCCCCCUACCAAGUCCAGCUGUAGCUGAUUUUGUACCAAAAAUCUUUGGGAAGUAGCAAGUCCUUCCCAAGUGGGCCAAGAAGUAGAGGAUACAAUUAAUCUAGGGGAUUCACGAUAACUAGGUAAAAAAUUUUCCCUAAAAAUCAACCGAAAGAACUAACCCUAGAAAUCAACCGUUUUCUCUUCAAUUUCCUCAAGAGCUAGUGAAUUUGGUAACAGCCUUUGCCUUCGGAGACGGCGUGCUUGGCCAAUUCACCGGGAAGUACAAGUCUCACAGUAGUCUGAAUCUCCCUCGACGUAAUCGUCGGCUUCUUAUUGCACCUGGCGAGCCUGGAAGCCUCCUGAGCCAAUUUCUCGAAAAUAUUGUUGAUGAAGCUGUUCAUGAUACCCAUGGCAUUGCUGGAGAUCCCGAUGUCGGGAUGGACUUGUUUCAGCACCUUGAAGAUGUAGAUCUUGUAGGUCUCGCUGCUCUCUUGACUCUCUUCUUCUUUUUGUCGCCGGCAGUGGCUCCGCCUUCCUUCGGGAGUUUCUUCCUGGCCUUUGGCUUCUUCUCUGCCGGAGCCUUCUCGGCUGCUGGGGCUUUCUCGGCACGAGCUUCUUCUCAGCCGGCUUCUUCUCCGCCUUUGGUGCCAUCGCUGCUUUUGAAGCUGAAAUUAGAGAGACUUUGACGGGAAGGAUAAAAAACGGACUUCGAUUUAAACUGGAGAGGGGAGAUGUCUGAGAGAGAGUUCAACACUUAGAAAAGUUAUUAUUUUGCAUCUACGUAGUACAAGAGACUUGGACAAUUUUGCGCCUUUUUUUUGCCUUGAAUUUUAAAAUUGCGCCACUUUGUUUUUGUCUUGAAUUUUAACUAGAUUUGGACAUCAUAAUUCCCCCCCUUUUUACACAAGAAAAAUUGGUGCAAUUUUGUCUUUUAUAAUUGUAUUUGAAAUAUAGAUUUCAUUUUUAUUCAUUAUUUUUGUGUCACAAUUUUAAAAUUUUAGUAUGAUUAAAAAUUUUAGUAUGAGUGGCAAAAUUUUUUAAAUUCAUAUAAAUGGAAAAGCAUUUUAUAAAAUUUAACUAGUUCUUAUAAGUGCUAAAACUUUAUAUCAAUUAUAACUACUAUUUAUAAAACUUCACUAUUAAUCCAUUAUCUUCAAAUAAGAAAAAAUGACAAUUCAACUAAUACAUAAAGUGUGUUAGUUAAUUAACUAUGGAGUUUAUGAUUUAUCCACUUCGAUAACCGAUUCAAUUUGAAAACUCUUAUUUAAAUUCAUAUCAAAUUAACUAAUAAUCAUUCUAAGUUAAGUAGUCACAAGUUUAUUUACACUAAUGAAUUUUUUAUUUUUUAAUUAUUUUUUAUUCUAAUGAAGUUAUUACAUAUACAAGAAAAUUAAACUAAUAAGGAGGCUCGUAAGUAUACAACAACUAAAAAUCAUUAGAGAACACAUAAUGAUUACAAAAAAUUAAGAGUAAUAGUUGCAAAAAACAAUAAAUAUUUAAAAUCAAACAGUGAUAAAACUAGUUGUCACUAACAGCUAUAUAAUGUUAUCAGUGACAACAAUAGCAAAGUUGUCAAAGAAAGGUGCUAUUAUUACUGACGACUUUUAGAAAGUUGUCACUAUUGCAGUUCCCGCUCUCUUCAUGACUCCUGGCGGGAAUCGAAUUGUGACAACAAUGCAAGGUCGUCACUGAUGUGUUGGCUUCCUUGACUCGAUUGUGACAACUUGCCGUAUUGUGGUUAAAGGACCCCAUUUUGUGACGAUUUUUUUUCAUCACUGAGAAAUAUUGUCACUAAUGACCAAAUUUCUUGUAGUGCUAGUCACGACCACUGCUCAACUCCAGCAAGAGACUAGGUCCUUGGUCGCCAGCACUACUCAGUUUCAACAGGACACCAAAGCAGGCAUGAAAGAUAUGGAGACUCGCAUGAGUCAAAUGGCAACUGCCAUUAAUCGCCUGGAGUCCCACGUCUAUGGAAAUUGCCAUCGCAACCUGAGGUAAACCCCAGAAAUGUAAGUGCCAUGACAUUAAGGGUGGCAAGGAGGUGGAGGGAUCUAAGUUGACGAUUUCGAAAAGCAAAAGUGAGGAGCAGAUAGAAAAGGGGAAUUGAAGAGGAAGGGUGCAUUCGCGAAGAGUCUAAGGUAACAUCUAUUCCUUCGAUCCUAUUAAAUCUAAUCUAUCUCCUUUUCCUUGCAGGUUGGAAAAGACAAAGAGGGCAGAAAAGGAAAAAGAAAUCCUGGAUGUCUUCAGCAAAAUUCAAGUAAACAUCCUCCUAUUGGACGCGAUCAAGCAGGUACCCAAGUACGCAAAGUUCUUGAAAGACUUGUGCGUUAACAAAAGAAAGUUAAGGGGUGAUGAAAGAGUGAUGGUAGGAGAGAAUGUAUCAGCUGUACUUCAAAGGAAACUCCCACCCAAAUGCGGAGAUCCAGGUAUGUUUACUAUUCCCUGUAAGAUUGGUCAUUCUAGUAUCAAAAAUGCCAUGAUAGAUUUAGGGGCUUCUAUUAAUGUGAUGCCUAAGUCAAUCUAUGAUUCCCUAAAUUUAGGACCUUUAAAAGACACGGGAAUAAUAAUUCAAUUGGCUGACCGUACAUGUGCUUAUCCAGAUGGGAUAGUUGAGAAUGUUUUAGUGCAAGUAGAUGGAUUAAUUUUUCCUGCUGAUUUUUAUGUGCUUUACAUGGAUGAUAGAAGUGCCCCAAAUCCAUCACCCAUUAUAUUAGGAAGACUAUUUUUGAGUAUUGCCCAAACUAAAAUUGAUGUUAGUAAGGGUACUCUCACGAUGGAAUUUGAUGGAGAAAUAGUCCACUUUAAUAUUUUUGAUACAAUGAAACAUCCUGUUAACUCUCAUUCUGUGUUUGCUAUGUAUACCACUAAUCCCUCUGUGCAAGAAUUUUCUAAGUUUGCUUAUAGGGGUAAAUUCAAGGUUGCUGCGAACAAGUCCUAUAGGAUGAAAGCAAUUCAUGAGGUGAAAAUGGAGAGAAAAUUUAGGAAAAAGGUUGCACUCAAUGGCCACAUGGAUCCCGGAGGAGAGCCACCAAUUACAAGGAAAAUUCAAUUACAUCCAAACUAAAGAGUGGUGCUAUGUCUAGCCAAAGACAUUAAAGAAAGGCGCUGCUUGGGAGACAACCCAAGGCUUCUUUUGUUUUAGUUUUCUUAUAUUUUUUGAAGUUUUUGUUAAGUGUUAGUGUCAUUUAGUGGGUUGUUAUUUUGUGACAGGAAGUUGGCAGUUAGACAUGCCUACGCUAGGUCGUCACACCUUAGGAAUGGAGUUUUGGAAUUGACGGUCAGAAGACGGCGUGCCCACGCCUUCCAACCCUUCCGAAAACGAAAGUCAAAAAGAAAAAAAUUUUCUCCUAGCCCCACUUUUCUACUUUUUUUUUUAUCCUGUCUUGUCUAAUCCCUUUUCACUUUGUUUUAGCUUCAGUCUUCUCCUUCCUGUUCGUGUUGCGUCCGUCGCCGCCUCACCCUCCUCCGCCUUAGUGUCUCGCUUUCCCUCCCCAGUAGUCAGGGAAGUUUUGCUCCAUUUUUCUUUGCACUUUAUUUAUCCUUGCUACAUUGGGGGCAAUGUAGGUUUUAGGUGUGGGGGGGUGGUUUCUAUUAUUUCUCUCUAUUAAAAAAAAAAAAAGGAAGAUAGUUAGUUGACUUUUUGUUUGCUAUGACGAAUUUUGCAAUCACAGUACUUGGGUGUGUGGUUAAUUAUACUAGCUAUGCAUUUUUGUCUUCCCUUGACUGUGUUGUUAGAUAUUGAGUAUACGGGACUUGACCCAUUCUUGAAACUUUUGGGAGCUUUUGAGCCAUGCAUGAGCACAUUAUUCUUGUUUGCUCUAUUUUUGUUUGAUUGAGUGGGUAUCGCACAUGGUAUUGACAUUCUAGAACUUGUUAUUUUAUACAUGUCAAAACCACAUUUUGUUGAACUGGAUGCAUUGAAAAUGAUAAGGGCAUUUAGGAUUUAACUUUCUACAAACCAUGCCUUCAUCUUAUUUUCCAAUAGUGAACCAACUUGAGCUUUUAUCCUUUACUUUCGGUUGUUAGCUGUGUUUGAUAACCCAUGACCUUUCUUUUUUUUUAGACUUUCUUGUUCAACCUUGAGGCAUUAAGAGAUGUCUGAAAUUCAUUACUUAUACAAGGCAAAUAAAUCUAUGGUCGCAAGUGCUUCCAGAGUAGAUGCUGUAUGGCGCUGUUUCUGUAUAUCUGAGAUCAAAAAAAAGAAAAAAAAAAUUAGUUAAAGGGGGGCUCGUGAACAGAAGACUCCAGCCUACAAGGCGUGCCCACGCCUUGCGAGCCGUCAUACAAAAAAAAAAAAUUCGACCCUUGCACAGUGUGUACAGCAAAUGAAAACUGCCUUGUUUGUGAAACUCCUCCGGUAGAGCACUGUGGUUAUAUGGUGAGUUUCGGAUAUUCUCUUGACUCAUUAUCCCCUAUUUUUACCUUCUUACCCCGCCUUUCACCUGAACCCAUUACAACCCUAUCGAAGUCCCUUUGAUUUAUGUAUUUAGUUCACUUUUGAGUGGUGGAGAUGUGAUAAAUGUGCAAGCCUAUGGUAAUGGCAUUCCGUGAUGUUGAUUUGAGCGUUCCUAGUAUUCAUAUCUCUUCUUUGACUUACAACCUAUCCGGUGUAUUCUUAUUUUGGCGACACGGUCAGGGAUCUAAGGUGCUUGUGUUAGUAUAGCUUAGUGCAUGACCUUUGCUCUCUCGGUUGCACUUCUAAACUCCGAAAUGCUUGAGGGCAAGUAUUGUCUAGGUGUGGGUGGAUUUGAUAGAGCAGUUAUUUGGCACAUUUUGCAUUGUCAUCUUGUCCUAAUUUUGGCUAUUCAUGGUGCUAAGAAAUGGAAUUUCACUCAUAUUUGAUAUUUGUGUGAAUUGUAGGUGGUUAGCAUUAAAAAUGAUAUCUUGAGGUGAAUUUCCAGAAGACUUCUCAUUUCAGGGCGUGGCCACGCCAAACAAGGCGGACGUUACCGAAAAGCCGGACCCCGGUCCACGUGAACCGCAAGGAGCACGGGAUUAAAACUCCAAAAGGCUAGCUUUUGUUUCAGUCAAUUAGGUCAGACGUGACUCGGCUCUUAGAGGCUUCAAUUAAAAAAAGAAAAGAAAGGGCCAGACGUCGGGGGAAUGAGAAUGAGGAAACUAGGUCCACAUGGACCAGCUACACGGGAUAAAAACUCCAAUGAAGAGAAGAGCUCUGCUCCGCGUGGAUUUCCCCUGCGGCGCUAUAUAAGACAACAAAAAAAGGGGACGCAGGCAGAGGAGAGAUUAGCUUAUAUUUUCUUUUCGAGAGGGGUCAGGCGAUUGCAAACUUUUGUAGCUUUUCAGUUGCGACACUUUGACUCCUUGGCUUUUGUUUUGACUCUGCACAAUUUACGUUAGCUUUUGUUCGUACACUUGCGGCUCUAAAGCAAAGACGAAGGCAGGGCCUUCUCUGUUGUUACUGCAAUUAAUUCCCCUUUCCCAAUUCUUCGUUGAAUAAUUGAAUGAUUUCAAUUAAAUCACGCGGGAUUGGCACGAUGAGGAGCGGCUAAUUUUUUCCUCUACUCAAAGGUUGACGCAAGGGCGCGGUCCAUAAUAUCUGUGAGAUCUAAUCGAAUCUUCAUUAUUUCUUCCAAUUUAUUGCUAUUCGUGCGUUUCCUGAAUUAAUUGUUCAUGGGUAUUUUAUUAAUUGAAUAUCAACGGCCGGGUAUUUGAUUUAAUUUAAUAGCCUACUGCCACGUUAAUUAAAUAGAAUCCGUAAUUGUUCAUUUAGUUAAUACCUCGUGGCAAUCACCAUAAUUGGCUUUAUAAUGGGGAAACGUAAGAUCUAGCUUAAAUAAACCCUCUUAGCGCGUUUAUUGGUUAGGGUUGGGUUCUUCUAGCUUUAAUGCAAUUGGGUAAUUAAAUUCCUACGGUCGUACCUAGAGUUGUUAUCUGGUUAGGGAAGCAGUUAAUGGUCGUACCUUGACUGUCGAAAAAGUAAGGAAGAACUGGUUGUCAGAACUUGUUGAUAACUAUAACCAACCUAGUGAUGAAUGGAUGAGAUAUCUUUGCAUCGAUGAUCAUUUGAUUGGACCGUGCCUGAGCAGUUAAUCCUUUGGGUAGAAUUUUAUUAAUUGCUAUUUUUAGUGAAUUGUGCUUUGUAAGUUGGUUUUGAAUUUAGUUCGCUUUAUUUUUAUUCUUAUUUUUAUUUUAUUUGUUUGCCUCCCAUUGAAAAUCCCCAAUUCCAUUCUACUAAUUUGGAAAGAAAUAAUUUCCUACCCGCUCCCUGUGGAAUCGACCCUACUUGCCAUUGUACACAAAAGUAAUAUUCUUAUAGACUAAUCUGGUAUAUCGGAUCAAGCAAACUCUUUGGGAACAGGGUGAAUCAAGUAACCCAUUGCACACCUAGGGUCCCUGCUCCAGUACUUGGAUUUGUUCUAUAAUUAUUUGUGUGGUAAUUAGGACUUUUUAGUAAUUAUUAUUGCACAGGUUCGGCACCUGUCAUUAUUCUCUUUGAAUGUUAUUGAAUCCUCUAACAUGAAGCCAGAAAAACUUAAGGCAUACACAUAAGUGUCUUCAUGCGAAAAUCAUGAAACCAUCAAAGUGAAAAUAAAUUGAUUUCAUCUUUAAUUUAUUAUUCACAAUGGGAAAAAUAACCAGUUGCUUAGACCAUUUGUCUCAUCUUCUUCCCUAGCCAGCAAAGUUAUUCGCUUUGAAAGUUACUGAAUCCUCUAGCAUGAAACCACAAAAACUUAAGACAUAUACAUAAGUGUCUUCGUGCAAAAAUCGUAAACUAUUAAAGUGAAAACAAAUUGAUUACAUCUUUAAUAUUUUAUGCACAAAUGGAAAAAAUAAUUAAAUUUUUAAAAAUGAAUUUAGUAUCAAUUUUUAUAUCAACAUUUUUUAUUUAAAAAAAUCUUGAAUCAUUGAAUAGAUGUUGUAAAGGCAUCCAAUAAAGAAUACUCCUUAAUAUAUGAGGCACCUGAAGUUAUGAUCUUAUGUAAGUGGCUAUAUGUUUCUGCCUCCUAAAAAAAUUAUUGAACUCAAGUAAAAUGAAAAAAAUGAAGCUCAUUUCACACCUCAUCUAAAAUUGUGGGUUAUAAUUGGUUAAUGUGUAGUGUAUCUAUAGUUUUGAUUCUUUGUAUCUUAUCAAUAGGGGUAAUGUUAUGGAGGAAAUUAAGAGGAACCCAUGACAGAUGUUUCUUUGUCAACUAUCUAAUGUAUAGAAAGCAUCAAGGUUGACAGAGGGUGUCAAGAUCAUGAUGAUUUCCCAAAUCUGAAGGUGAAUGACAAGUCAAGGGAUAUCAAUUCGAAAAAGGUCUUAAUUCAUCUAGGUAAGGAGUAAUUAAAAAGAUGGGGAUCACAAGUAGAAGAUUAAGGUUGAUGAUAGACCAAAGAAAGCUUCGUGCACUAGAUGUGUACACUAUGAAUUCUUAGUAAUGGCAUUUGAUUUAACCAAAUCGCCUACUAUUUGAAUGGACGUCGCAGUGUUUGGUUUACAAAAUGCUUCCAGAACUGUUGUUGAAUACAAAGACUACAAGAAGCAAAUGCAUAAAUUUAAAACAACAAUAGUGGUCAAAACUGAGAGGUAAAAGGAUUACACAGACCUUUAUAUAAAGAGAAAAGUUAAUAUUUGAGGAUAACUACUAUUAGGGCAAUACUGAAAUAAUAAGGAUAACUUCUUUUCAAUUUGGAAGUUUCCCAAUGAUAGGUUUAACAUUUGUCAUUUUUCUUAAUUUAACAUUGGUUAAUAUUUCAUGGAAAAUUCUAUUUUACUUAAUAUUUUUAAUUCAAAGUUAUCUUAACCUAUAGUUUGAAUUGGCACCAUGAUCAAUUUGGAUGUUCUGAGUUCUUGCCUCAAAUCAAUACCCUUUUUUUUAUUACAAGCAUACUAGUCAAUCAAAUUAAAAGAGCAAAUCGCAUUAGUAUUUAGCUAUUUCAGCCUGGAUAUAUCUUUGCCUCUAAGUUUCAUUUUCUAACUAAUCCUUUUCUUCCCACAUUUUAGUCUUUUCUAGUGGCUUUAACAUCAAAAUUUUUACUUGUUGGCAACUCAAUAGUUUUCCCCAUUAAUGAUAUUCGAUUCUCAAAUUUCAUCUAGUACCAUCAAUCCUGCAAUUAAAAAUAACUAGGCAUCUUUUGAUCCCAUAUGUAUACAUAUAUUUAUUCUAUGCGUUUUGAUAUGCUUUAGUGAUCAUCAGCUGACAUUUUUAAGUUGUGACUUUGAAGGCUAUGGAGGACAUAUGGUUCAUUAUCUGGUAAAUAAUACUUUUAUGCUAAAUAAUACCCUUUCAAUAUAGUUUGGUACUCUCAUGUUAAAUAAUACCUUUCAAAUACAGUUUGAUUAUGAUCAAAAUCAACAAAUAUCAGUAUAUCAUGUUUUAUGGAGGCCAUAUGGUUCAUUCUCUGGUAAGUAUGUAGGAAACAAACUUCCUAUGUGAUAUCUAUCUUCUAAGUAUUCAUUUUGCUAAAAAUAUAAUUCCUUAUAUCCAGUGUAAUAGGUGUUGCAUAUUUCAAAAACAUUGUCCAGUUGUAUUGUUAUCAUGCUAUCAGUAAUUACAUCAAGAAACAAUUGGAGCUAUUUCUAUUGUCUUUUUUCUUACUAAAAUUCUAAAGCAUGUUUAGCUUCCAUACUAGCUUUAACUCUAAAGAUUGAUGCUUACUUGGGAGGUGUAUAUAACCUUGCAUUCACUACACCAUAUGUAUAUAACCUUGCAUUCAUAUAAGCUUGAUCUUUACUUACUCUAGUUAAUGUCCAAGGCAGUGAUUUUCGGCCCUUGUUGCUCCAGAAAAACCGUGAGUUUUAGCUCCCUUUUGCAGCUCAAAGAGGUGUCCAAGUGUAGAGCUAAGUGUAUGUGAAGUUUGGUGUGAAUCUAUGAAGGUUUGGUGCAAGAAUUUGGAGAUGAAAAAAAUUUGAGAAGCCUUGGUUGUUUUUACUGCUGCUGGUUCGGUCAAAUGAGAAGGAAAAAGGAGUGUUUGCUGAUGAUAAAACUUCCGUGAGAAGCUUAGCAAAUUUUGGUUUUAAGUGUACAAAAGUCAAUUCUCCAAUAGUGCGCGUAUGCGCGCGUUUUGUGCUCGAUUCCUCUUGCAUUUGUUUCACUAGUGCACUAAACCUCUAGUACACUUAUAUUCAUAUAAAUAUUAUUCACUCUUAAUUGUCUCAAAAUAAUGGUCUAAAGUCCUCAAUUAAGCGCGCGCGUGAAAACGCGUAUUUCCAAUUUAGGCGCGAUAAAGUGAAAUCUUCGAGAAAUUCUUGUAACGAUCGUACCACUAACUAUCACUUGAGUACUUAAACCUAGAAUUACCUAUUUUAGGACCAUUGUACAUGUCUCCAAGUUUUGAACUUAUUGUACUCCCAAAUGGCUAAAGUUUUCAGACACGUUUUUCACUAUUUUCAUUAAUCGAGCUUCCAAAAAAUUAAUUUUUGAAACGAGUCACUUUAAAAAUAUAAUGAAGUCAUAAAUUCCAUGUAUUUAAGUCUAAUAAGGCUAGAAAAUAAUAAUCGAAGCAAAUAUUUGAAUAAAUAAUUAAAUGAGCAAAAUUAGGAGUCGAAAAAUAAUAAUUUUACGAGUCCCUCACACAUGCAAUAUAAGACAUGUUAAAACAUGUUUUUUUUUUCAGUUAGUAGCAUGUUUCUCAGCUUUUGAUCUAGCAUGAAGCUUGCAUUUUCUAAGUUAAAAUCAAACUUUAAAUUAAGCAUUAUAUUCUUGUAUACAUCCACACUUAAACUAUCAGGCAAUUUUAACUAUCAGGUAAUGUAUCUUAGAGUAAGCUAAUUAGAUAGGAGAAUAGCGUUUCCAUUAAGGGAAAAAUAGGUACAUAAAAAAGUAAGAAACACUUAAUGCACUUUUAUGUAUAGUAUAGAUAUGCUUUUACUUGCAUAUAAGGAUUAUACAUUUCUAAUCAUCUACGACUAUAAAAUGGUGUUUCAUUUACUUGUUGGCUUCUUUCUCUAUUUUAAUGCAAAGCCUUAUGUUUGCUUCAACAAGGAAGACACUCUUUUGGUUGUUUUUCUGAUGAUAGUAAGGUCAAAAUCUUGGCAAAUAAUGUAAUUGGCAGUCUGUUGCUACAAAAUUCAACUCUUAGUUCAGUUAAUUCAAUAGGACACCUCUCUAAAUCAUUGUGGAAGGUCAGCAACGGAAACCUUGUUCUAUAUUUCUUGAAGUAAUUGUUCUCUACAUUAUCAAUGUAACUAAAGAUUAGCCAGCAAUAAGGCCCAUUUCAACUCUCGCCUGAAUUAAACUUGAGGAUGAAAACAACCCCAUUGCCCCUGGGGUGUGGUCUAAGGAGGUCUGUAUUGGAUAUUCUUGUCUCUUAUGAUUCACUUUUCAUCCCUUAUGAAUCAUUGAAUUUUACUUGGUCCUCUUUUGCAUGAACUUUUUCGCUCUAGCAUAGUUGAUAUGCAAAUUUCAACGAUUUGAAAACAGGAAGAAAACAUGAAAUGUCUAAUAACUUUAGAUCUAAACAAUCUACUGACAACUAAGGAACACUGUUGGAAUGAUGCAACUUUGGUCGCAGCUUUGAAACUUUAGAAUAGAUCAAUUUAGUUGAAUAAGUGAAGUUGUUAGUAAUUGUUAGAGUUGUUCCACUUUUUCAAUAUUUUGACUAGUUUUAGUUUGUUACAAUUUCUAGUAUUUUAAUGACAUUGUUUAGCGGAUAUUUACAUUAAAUUUGUUCAUAUGCCUCUAUAAAAGGUGAAAUUGAUGAAUGAGAAAUGAUAAGUCUUUUUUUUUUUUUUUGCAAUAACAAUGACAAGUAUUGUUUCUUAAUUUUUUCCUAUGGACUAUAUAGAUACAUUAUCCUUUAUCAACGUUGCCAAAUCCUUGAACAUUUGAAACAUUAAAUUCUUAUUGCUAUUGCUAGAGUACAAUUUUACACGAAUUACCCUGCCAUAAGAGUUUUUGAAAUUAAUCUAUUGGAUGUAACUACAAAAGCAAAUAACAACCUACUAAAAUGUGCUGAAGUAAAACAUUCUUGGGAAUGGAUUUAUGAUUUGAAAUGUGAGAGGUCAUCUCCUCAUCAUUCCUAUUAAAUAAAUUUCUUAUAGAUCAUUAUUGAUCCUUUAUGGAGUUUUCCUAAUAUUUGCAUGCUAAACAAUAGCCUUCCCAUAUAGAUUGAUUAUUAUCAAAAUCAACAAAUAUCAAUAAAUCGUGCUCAAUAAACGUCGUCAACAAGUUGCAUUGUUAUCAUGCUAUUAGUAAUUGUAUCAAAAAACAAUUGGAAGUGGUUAGGAAGCGGGUAUAACAAUUAUGGCUAGAUAGAAAAGUUAAUCGAUUCUAUUUUCAUUGUAUAUUUAUCUUUUCCAAUUGUAUAUGUGCAUCACUAUUUCUUAUGUGUUGAUUUUCUGUUAGACUCUAAUUAUUUUUUCUAAUUUGUCAAAUGGAAAAAAACAAAAAUUGUUAGGCAAUAAGAAAUCAUCUCCCUUGUGUAUGGCAUCCAAAAAGUGGAAUAAUUAUAACCAACAGCCUUAGUGAUGAUCCAUUUCAAAUAGUUUCACCAUGCUUUGCUUUAUCCAGGAAUGACUCUUAUCCAUAUUAGCAUCAGGAAGAAAUAGUUUCUUUGUUCAACACAAUAACCUUUGAGGUAAGUAUGUGAUUAACAUCUUUAGGAGGUGAUCGCAUUUCUUAGGUCAAAAGUAUAUUGAAAUUUAAUCAAACUGAAUCAUACUAACAUAAGAACUCGUGGGAACUUAUUUGUGAAAAUUUCAUCGCUUAUUAACUAGUGCUAAAGGCUAGAAAUGAAAAAAGCAAAAUGCAUGCAGAAAAUAUAAACCAAAACACUUCAGUAAUGUAAAAAAUGCUUAUUCUGACUUCCACAGAUAUCCUAUCAAUCUAAUAGCUAUUACUGAAGGGCAACUCAAAGUUCAAUUUCAAAUUCUUGAACACUUGAAAAAACUAAACUGCUAUGUCUAUUACUAGAUUACCAUUUUACAUGACCAGUUUGAUUUGUCAACUGCAACUGCAGAAAGUGAGAAGCUUCCCAUUGCUCCACCUGCAGCUACAUGUAUGGCAUUCUAGCCCCACAAGAUAACAACCUAGUUGCUAUUGGCACAGACGAUUCAACUAUACUCGUCAAACAUGUGAGAGUCUGAGUUAUAGCACUAAUUUUGCACAUGUAAAGCUUUUAAUUAUUUUCCAUACAUUUAACAGCUUGUAAAUAAGCUUACUCUCAUUUGAAAAGGAUUAGUUGCUUAGCCUUUUUUAACACGUUAAAAGUAUUGGUCUCUACUACAGUAGAUGCUCAAGUUUGUUCUAAAUCAAAUAUGUCAAAUAGGAAUUUGUGGUCUUGAGCAGCUAAUGUUAUCUAAUUAUCUAUGGGCAAAUCAUUCCAUUUAUACAAUUUGAUUUCUUCACUUAUAUAGUACUAUAUCUAAAAAUUGUUAAAAGAGUAAUUCAACAAAACAAAUAUGUUCUCGUCCUAGACUUCUUGUAAGAUUUAUUAGGAAUUUUCUUGUUUAAUAGGAACUAAAUGUAGGUUUUGUUGAGUAUUUGGUCUAAGAUUGAUAAUUGAACCAGUAAUGAAGAGGUAUAAAAUGUCAUAUGUAAGGAUAAAAAAACUGACUACAUCAUAGUUUGCUUUGUCAUACAUAGGAAAGAGUCAAAUUUCAUCAGCACCAAUUUGUAGUAAUAACUAUUGUUAGCAAAACACUAAACCAAGCCAUUUCCAUUGGUUAAGAUAGGUUUCAUGAUUUAUUGUUUAGUUAAUAGCAUAUGGUUGCAAGAUUGGCUUAACCUUUCCUUCAUUUCCUCCUUUUGCACCACCCAUUUUCCUUUUAUUUAUUUAUUUCUUGCAUCUUGAUUAUGCAUGUUGUUUGUGCAAAUUAUAUGAGUUUAAAAAUUUCCAAAAAACUGUUCCUGCUAUGACCCCUCAUGUAUAAAAUUCCUGAAUCGUAUGAUUCCUCUUUGUUGAAAAUCAAUGUCUGGAAUACAAUUAGGCAGGAGAAAAAGAAAAGCAUUUCAAUUAAGAUAUUAAUUUGGUGGUGGUUGUUGUUGCAAACAUCAGAGACUGAUAUCCAAUUUCACAAGGAUCAAAUGCACUUUCUUGCCACAACGAGACUCAACUUGCAAUGUAUGAAUCAAAAAAGCCUGGAACCCAUCAGCAGUGCAGUUUUUUUACCACUUCAUCCUCCACAAACACUUGGAGAGGAGAUAUAUUGUAUUUGACUUCUUUAGACGAUCAUUUCUCAAAUACUUGUAGUGGACCAUUAGAGACUUCUGUUUAAGGAUUUCAAAUGGAAACAUUUUAAUUCAUGUCGCAACUAGGUGGUAUUUGCUACCAUGAGAAAUGGAGUUGUUAUGGUACUCAACGCUUUAGAUCUGAGUCCAAGAUUAGAGAUUGAUCCCUCUGCUUUAUCUUCCACCGAACAAUGGGUACGUAGAACUAGCUAUAAGGUAAGAUAUGGACAUACUAAAACAUUCACCUUGACUACAUUGUAUUUCUCACAUCACUUAUGUCUGUAAGAGGUUGCUUUUCAAUCUACUACACUUUUAUACUCUAGACACGCACAAAACUAAUUCGUCAUACAUCUACUUUCUGGCAAGUUUCGAUAAAAUCUUGGAAAGUUCUGUUUGUAAACGCUUUUAGUUUCCUAUUCAUGAUAUUUUCUUUAAUCUUAAGAAUGCCCAUUACUUUUGUACAUUCUUAAUUAUUUGAAUUAUCUUGAGAUUACUAAUUUGCUUUUCUAGACUUUUUAGUUAUGGUCAUUUAUAUCUUUCUGAAUUAUAGUCAUAUAUUUCGGCCAGAAGGGUGUUAGUAGCUAAGGCGGUGAGGUGGACUUUCCCUGUGGAGGGUUCUUUUAAGCUUAACACUGACGGUUGUUCUACGGUCGGUGGUAGUGGGGGGUGGGUGAUUAGGGAUUCGAGGGGAAAACUCAUUAUUGCUUUUGCAGAUUCUUUUGGCUCUCUGGAUUCCCUGCAGGCUGAGGCUCGGGCUCUCUUGUUAGGGCUUCAGCUGGGGUACAGCUUAGGGAUUUCGCAGAUGUUUGUUGAAUCUGAUUGCUUGGUUUUAGUCAAUUGUUUAAAGGGGUUUGGGGGGUUCCUGUGGUGAUUCGGCCAGUUGUUCGUGCUGUUCGUCUGGUUACUUCUGCUGGCCAUCAGUUUGGUCAUUGCUACCAGGAGGGGAACAUGGUGGCGGACUCGCUCGCAACGUUUGGGGUGGAGUGUGGCUCUCGAUCUAUUUUCACGUCAGCGUCUCAGUUGCCCCUGCGCUCCAGGGGGCUUUUAUCUCUGGACAUGCAGAAUUUUUGUAGUUUUCGUUUUUCUCUUAGGAUGUAGGGAUCUGGAUGAUUCCUUGGUGUUGUGUUCUGGUUUUGAUGAAUAAAACAGGUUUGUUUUAAAAAAAACAAAAAAAAAGAAGAAUUAUAGUCAUAUAUAAGUUUGCUAAGAUUUCAAUUUGAGGUCAUAUGUAAAUUUAACAUGAAUUAGUCAACUUUAGGAAAUGCUAAUAAUUGAUAGCUUCAAUAUCAUAAGUAUAUAGUCAAAUAUUAAGUAAUUUUAUCUAAUUAAAAUAAAUCAAAUUCUGUGACGCCCCCACUUCUCCCUAAGGCGAACCAAAGGGUAUCCGCGGAACGCCUGCCUAGCUCUCGCCAGGACUCAAGCAAUUCCAUUCAACUUAUAGCCGGACCACACAAUACAAACCGAAACUUAGAUACAAUAAAUGAGGAAACGUUCAAACUUAAUAAUAGUCAACCAUUCUCCAAACCACACGUCAGUACACAAAAAUACAAUUCGUCCAAAGGUUACAUUUCCAUACCAAAAGUACAAUCCAAAGCCGAAGGCAUAAACAAAAGUAUUAGCAACCCUAAAACAAAAGUACAUCAAGAGGCUGCUCCAUUUUACCUCCGAAUUCAACCUGUUAAGGAAAACAAAUCUACAGGGUGAGCAAAACGCUCGUGAGGCCAAGAACACACAUGCAGACACAUAGUUCAGAUAACAAGCCCAAAUAACAAUUCAGGUAAUAACUUGCAAGUAAUUAAUAAGGCCAACAAAAUGUAACCAGAAACAAUUCAAGGAUAUGGAAGCUCUCAGGAGCUAAGUUCCACAUUUGCCGAUGUCAUUUGUAUAUCUCCCCGUGAUGACUCUCCGUCAACCGGGUUGAUAUUUUCAUAUCCGUAGUUCACCACUUACUUCUCAUCCGUCCACCAUACACCACUUCGAGCCCGCACUCACUACAAGAAAAAAGGUCAUUAGUGACAACAUUUCUUUGUGACGACAAAAAGUCGUCACAAAAUGAGGUUGUUUAGUCACGACUUUGAAGGUUGUCACAAUUGACUCAAAGCAACUGAGUUUUCAGUGACAACUUUUAAUUGUCGUCACAAAACUACUUCGCGCCAUGGGACUUGGAAGGCGCGAGUUUUGUGAUAGUGACGACUUGAUAAAAGUUGUCAGUAAUUCUACCACUUUCUUUGACAACUUUUCGUUGUUGUCACUGUUUAUGUUUAUUGACGACCAAUUUUUGUCAAUAAAACUAUAGUGUAGUUAGUGACAACAUAAGUAUCAUCACUAACUUGAACAUCUCUAAUGCAUUUAUUUAAUUGUGAACCUCAAUAUUAAUUUAUUUUUUUUAAAUUUGAUGAUUUAUUAACUAUGACUUUAUUUAAUUGUGAGCCUCAAUAUUAAUUUAAUUUUUUUUUAAAAUUUGAUGAUUUAUUAAACUAGUCAUAGUUACUUAAAUAUUAAUUUAAGUUAUUUACGGACGACUUUUUGUUGUCGUCACUGAUCACGAAAAAAAAAGUUAUUAGUGACAACAUUUUGUAGUGAUGACAAUAAGUCGUCACAAAAGGAGCUUCUUUAGUCGCGACACCUAAAGUUGUCACAAUUGCAUCAAAGCAACCAAAUGUUUAGUGACGACCCGUUAUUUUCGUCACAAACUACACUGCAAGAAAUAUGGUCAUUAGUGACAACAUUUUUUAGUGACGACAAAAGUCGUCACAAAACGUGGUUGUUUAGUGACGACAAGAAAAGUUGUCAUAAUUGCUCAAAGCAACUAAGUCUUCAGUGACGACCUUGAAAAAGUUGUCACUAAAAUGAUCUCUAUAGUUACAACUUCUAAUAUCGUCACUGUCACUCUACCAAUUCGGAUUUAGUGACAAGAAUUAAUUGUCACUGUUUAAAGUAAUUAUUUUUAAGUCACUUUCAUUAAUUCUACUGUGUCACCCUAACUUUUGCGAUUUAGCCCCAAAUGUUGUAAAAAAUUCCAUUAAUUCCAUUAUGAUACCUUAACUUUUACAAUUUAGCUCCAUAUGUAGUACACCGAUUUCUUUAAUUCUAUUAUUACUCCCUAACUUUUGUAAUUUAGUCCCAUAUGUAAUUCACCAAUUUCAUUAAUUCUAUUAUGGCACUCUAACUUUUGCAAUUUAACCCCCAUAUGUAAUACACCAAUUUUAUUAUUUCUAUUAUGGCACCCUAACUUUUACAAUUUAGCCCCUAUUUUUUUAUUAGGAAAUUGCGAAUGGUAUCUUGAUAAACUAUGCAUAAAUAUUUUAUAAUUUUCUCAAACUUAAGUAAUAAUUUGUUAUAAACUCUAAAGAUAUAUCUUUCAUUACAAUAGUUAUAAGGCAGGCAGGUCUUUUUAUCAAUGGAAUAAGAAAUUUAUGCCAGAUUUAUCUUUUGUACUACAUGCCAAGUAGUAUUAGCAAAGGAAUAACAAAGUACUACAAAGUAAUUAACAAAAUAGCCUUCAGAGAGUGUAGUUUAUGGGCAAAUGAGCAUUAUCUAUUCAAAGUACCAACUUUUUAUGGGUAUUUUACUUUCAAACAUAUAAUUUAUGAUAAAUUUAUAAAUGUUUGUAAGUAAAAUUCAAAAAGUGUUACACUGAUUUCUUACAAAACGAAAACUGGCAGGUUAUCUUUUCAACAUAAAUUAAAUUUUUUUUAAAAAAGAAAUGACCCAUAAAGUACCAACUCUUUGUGGGUUUCCUCCAUUACAUGAACAAAUAUUCUGCUCUUUAUGGGCAUUUCACUCUGAAUCAUUUAAUUUAUGUUAAAUACAUAAAUGUUUGUAAGUAAAAUUCAAAAAGUGUUGCACUAAUAUUUUUUUGAAAGGGAAACUGGUAGGUUUUGUAUUUAACAUAAAUUAAAUAUGUGAAAGCAAAAAAAAAAAAAUUACCCAUAAAUCUAUGUCUUGCAAAUCUAAACUAGUAAAAUAGUUUCAAACAAAAUUAAACAUUAAAAUAAACUGUAAUUUAUACACAUUAAAAUAUCUGUAAUUUAUACACAUUUUGCAACUACUACUUUGUGUUUUCUCUGUAAUGAAUUUUUUAACUAUUGAGAACUUAAGUUUUGUCUUGCAAAUCUAUACUAGUACAAUAGUUUUAAACAAAAUUAAACAUUAAAAUAAAUGUUUGAAAAAGAACAAAAGCACAUUUAUUACUUGCAGUAAUGUAACAAAAUUUUCUCAACCAUUAUCAAUAUUUUCACAAAACUAUUAAAAACUAGCAAUUGACAAUAUUAAAAAGGGAUAAUUUCAGAAACCUCCCCUGAGGUUUCUGACAAUUUCACUGACCUCCCCUGAGGUUUCCACAAUUACACUGACCUCCCCUGGCAGAACUUGGGACCCAAUUGCUGACAUCAUAUAAUGCAAAAUUACUAUUAUACCCAAGACAUUUUGUGUUUUGGAUAGUAUUGGAUUGCAUUUCUAUUUAUUUAAUGUAUGGUUAUGAAAUUUGUAAUGAUAUUACUCUUGGAUUGCAGUUUUGGUUUGCACCUUAUUACUGUUAAGGUUUUAUAAAUGACUGUUUUAGUUCUUGGAUUGCACCUUACCUCCAAAAUUUGGGAAUUUACCCAAAUUUUCCAUUUUCUAAUAUUCCUACAAAUAUGCAAAAUUAUGCAUAUCCCUCAAAUCUACCCAAUAUUAAUGUUUUGUUAAACUCUAAAUAACAAAAAUAUGAAAUAUAUUAUUUAAAUAUAUUUUAGUUACACACAAGUUGGAUGGGUAACUAGUGUGUCAGAGAGUUGCCAUAAUCUCCUUAAACCCGCAUGCGGGUUUAAAGAGUAUUCGGAUAUUCUCAUAUGCACCUAUGCAAAUCGAACCAACCGGAUAUCUUAUCCGUAUCCCAUUUUUUUAAAUAAAAAUCUUAUAAAUUUGAAAAAUAAAAUCAAAUUUAGAUGUAUUAGGGUUUUAAAAAUAUUAUAUAAGUGAUAAAAAUUUUAUAAAUUGUAAAAAUAAAAUCAAAUUUAAAUAAUUAAAUGUUAUAUUUGCAUAAGAAAUAAUACAAUAAUCAUAAUAAUGAUAAUACAAUAAUAUUGAUGUAAUAAAACUGCCAUUAAUUUAAAUAUUUACUUAUAAUGCCCAAAGAGCCUAAUUACCAAUUUUUUCUUCUCGCGCUCAAAUAUAACAUUAACCCGCAUGCGAGCUAACCUUGAAAUAGAAAAAACACAGAAUCCCGCUUGCUGCAAUAAUGUUCUUUAGUGCUGCAAUUAUAAGAAAUUAGUAUAAAAUAUUAGCAAAUUAUAAAAGUACAUUUUCAAUUAUAUGAAAUUAACAAAUUUUGCCACCUAUGUUGAUGAAAAUUUUUAUUUUUUGCUAAAAAAUAAAGAAUAAUACUAUAGCAUUAAAAGGCAAUUCGUCAGGCAAAUAUCCUUCAAAAGGCAAUGCUACUUUAAACAUAUUUUUCUACUUUUGCCCACGUCAAUUCAUCAGGAAAAGUUUUCGUUUUCCCACCAUUUUUUUACCACCAAUUUUUUUCCUUUUCGCCCAAAAAAGAAUUUAGACGGACAUUAACUUAUAGUAGGUUGCAAAAUGGCCUUCACAAAAGCCCCAAUCUUCAUCAUCCUCUUCCUCAUCACCCUCCUCCCGAUCUCCACCAAUUCUCAAGACCCCAGUUCGGAUUUGCUCUUGCAGCUCGAAUCCCUCCAAUCCCAGUCCCCCAAAGGCGGCGUUAUCCAUCUCACUGAUUCCCUCAAACGGAUUCUAUCCAUUCCAACUCAUCGUCCCUGUGCUUUCCUCGUCUUCUUCGACGCCCAACAACUCCACUCCAAACCCGAACUCUCCCUCCCUUCUCUCAAAUCCGAGUUCUCCCUCGUCUCUAAAUCCUUUUUAGCCAACAACCCUCCAACUUCUCACUCAAAACUCUUCUUCUUCGACAUCGAAUUUCAAGAAUUCCAGUCCUUUUUCGCCCUUUUCGGAGUAAAUUCUCUGCCCCACACCGAUGUCAAGAAAGACUCCGUCCAGAUAAAUGCAUCAGAUUUCUCGAGGCUCGCCGAAUCCAUGGCUGAAUUUGUCAAGGCCAAAACGAAGCUGAGCAUUGGGCCAAUUGAUCGCCCCUCUUUGAUUUCUAAGAAGCAAUUGAUGUUUCUCAUUGCUGUUAUUCUGAUUUCGGCUCCAUUCUUGGUGAAAAAAGUGAUUUAUGGGAACACCCUUUUGCACAAUAAGAGUAUUUGGAUGACCGGAGAGAUUUUUGUCUACUUUUUCAGUGUCUCCGGUUCAAUGCAUAACAUAAUUAGGAAAAUACCCAUGUUUUUGGUUGAUAGGAAUGACCCUGGGAAGUUGGUUUUCUUUUAUCAGGGGGUCCGGGAUGCAAUUGGGAGCUAAAGGGUUCGCGGUUGGGUUCUUGUACACUGUGGUGGGAUUGUUGCUGGCUUUUGUUACUCAUGUUAUUGUCUAUGUGAGGAAUAGGAAUGCUCAGAGGUUGGUGAUGUUUAUUUCCUCCUGGGCUGUUCAGAUGAUUUUUGUUGGCAUUCUUGUCGCAUUUCUGGUUUCUUGAUUUUAGUUUGUUCUACCGUGUUAGUUUUUGUUAGUGUUUCAGAUAAGGAAAAUUGACGUUUUAUUUUUGGUGUAAAUUAACAAUGUACCUUUCAUUUUGCUUUUGUGCUCAUAUUCUGUAUUUGCAACUGUUGCUAAAAAAAUUGAAUCAUGUAAUUGGCAGUGAUUUAUGUAUCUUUUUGGUGUUGUCUUGGUGAAAUGCUUGUAAUAAGCAUAGCAAUCACUUGUUUUCUCGUUUUCUAUGGUAUCUGUUCUAGAUCUUCUUUCACAUGUAGAUAUGGCGUUGAGAUAAGUUUCCGACUAAAUGAGGAAAGGUGCAAUUUUGAAUGGUAAACCUGCGGCCAAAUUGCAAAUCACAUGCCAAAUUAUGAACUAGAGCUAUAAGUUGGCAUUUGCAGUUGGUAGUGGGUGUUUCUUCAGGAGUUGGAAGAAUUUGAUUCACAAUUCCAUAACAUUUUAAAAGGCUAUACUACGUACUCAGUAAUUAGACUAGAGAGGAUGAUGCUUGAGUGCUAGAGCUUAGUGCAAGAGGAUACUGCUAUAUUAUUUGUGAUAUAAGUAAUUCUCAAUCAACUUGCACAACGGUGAUCUUUAUGGUAGUUUUCUAGUUCGAGUAAGAAUAAGUACUUUGUAAAAUCUGUUUUGCUUGCUUUCCUGGAAUUUAAGUUUCAUGUCUUACAUGGUAGUUUGUUCUCCAUAUAGCAUUAUUUUAUACUAUAUAAUCACAAACUUUUUGCUGGAUGUAGGUUGGAUUUUCUGUUAACGGAGUAAUAAUACUAACUUUUAUGUGGGUUUUGAAGGCAUUCCUUGAGGUAAUACCUUUUCUUUUCACAUGAAUGGUUCCCAUUUUUGGUGCCAUUCUUGAAGUAAAUUUCAUUGUGAAUGUUUUGCAAUGUCCCGCCACUUGCCUAACUUACUAGUUUGAUUGGAAUACAAUAUUAAGGGGUGCUGGUUUUCUAUGGAAUUAAUACACCAUGACAAACAGCAAAAGUAAUUUCAGAGAUCUAGAACAAGAAAGUUGUUUUUUGCUUUUAAAUGGCAAAGAAACAUUCUAGUUAUGUUGGUACACAUUGCUCCUACUUGACACCUUAUAUCAUGAUCGACAUUACUUUGGUUAUCAUACUUGACACCUUGUAUCCUCUGUGGUGCAUUAGUUUGGAUUGUUUUGGUUUAGUUUAGUUUAGUUUAUUUGAAUGUUUUAGCUAAGCAAGUGAACUGAAGUUGCUUUUCCUUUAGUGUUGUGCUUAUCGUCUUAUCAACUGGUUAUAUUGUUCAUAGCAGUACUUAUAUCAGUACUUGUUAUAGUAGUGCUUGUUGCCUUAUCAACUUGUUAUAUUAUUCCUUUGAGGCUGAAGUUUAAUAGCAGUACUUAUUUCUUGAGCUAAUUUGGUGCAUUAGUUUGGGCCUGAUUUUGAUUUUCUUUGGGGCUGAUUUUGAAUGUCCAGCUUUAAUUAUUGAGGUUCUUAUUGGAUUGCAAAUUUUAGCUAAGCAACCGAACUACAAGAGAUAUAGUGAAAUUGGGAAAUGGCAAGGUUUAGUGAAAUUUUGUCUGAUGUUAAAAAUUCCCCCUUGUGUUGAAAUUUGGUAUUUUUUUUUCACGACAAAACAGCCUAGCAAAUUGUCACACUUAAAAGACAGUAUCUUUUAUCGGAACAAAACAAUGACUAAAUUCGUUUAUAUUAUUCCAAUCUUGUUUGCCACAUCCAAAGCAUCGUAGUCUGGAGUCAACCGAACAUAUGCUUUCUUUGUUCCAUCAGGCCUGAUCAUAGUGUUCACUUUCUUGAUCUGUAUGUCGUACAUCUUCUUCACUGCAUCUUUGAUUUUUUCUUAUCAGCACGGAUGUCAACUAUGAAUACCAUGGUAUUGUUAUCUUCAAUCUUUUUCAUGGCAGAUUCAGUAGUCAAAGGAUAUUUGAGAAUCUGAUAAUGGUCCAACUUAUUCCUAGGAGGAGCACUGAUGCGUGGGUACUUCGGGUUCCCGUCCUUUUUCAAUGUCUUAGGACGAUGGAAGGUAACUUUGGUCCGGAUCUUCUUGGCUUUCUUCUUAAAAGUUGUCCCAGAUUUGACAAAUUUGGCAACCUUGGCUAUAGGGUGUUGUUGAACUUCAUUAUGAUAUUUGAAUGCUUAUAUGAUAUUUUGACAUUUCGUAAUGCAAUGGAUGCAUUCAUUUGCUAAUUAUAAAUCAUUGUCAUUUUUUUCCAUUUAUAGAUAUAAUUGUUGUAGGAAAAUUUUCAAUUUUCAUGGUGAUAAAGAGUUAUCAUUGAAUCAGAAUUUUUCAUUAAUAACAAUAUAUAGUUGCACUUAAAUGUUCGCUUUUGUUUAUAUGCUGAUUUUAAGUUUAAGGAUGGAGUGUAAUUACUUGUAAGAUUUUUUUUGUUUAUUGUACCAGUUGUCACUAGAUUUGGUUCAAGAAUGGCUAGCAGAGAAUGCCAAGGAAUCAAUAUUGGGACAGGACAUGAGUAUUAGUGGAAUAGCAACUUAUCAGCCAUUUGAUGGAUUGAUGGAGUUGAAAGUGGUAAGUACUUUGACAUUACGUCUCAUUUCUAUCUGUUGUGCAGUUAAUACUUGUUGAGUUGCGUAAAAACCUCUGAAGUUUAUUGCAUUUCCUGCUUCUACUGUGCAAAUUUUUCUGAAGCAAUUUCUGUUCUGAAGUGCUAUUGACUCUAUUAAAAUUGAAGGAGAAACUUCCAUGCAGCAAGUAAUUUGAAUGAAUGCCUUCUAUCUGUUUUAUGGUUAAUACUUGCUGGGUUGCAUAAGAAUCUCUAAAGUUUAUUGCAUUUUCUGCUUCUACUGUGUUAAUUUUUCUGAAGCAAUAUCCAUUCUGAAGUGCUAUUGACUCUGCUAAAAUUGAAGUAGAAACUUCCCAUGCGGCAAGUAAUUCGAUUGAAUGGCUGCUUUGAUGAUGUAUAUUUAAUUCAUAUGAAGUAUCUUUUGGUAAGUGCUUUAGAAUGAGUAGAAUCUUGGUGAAGAAUCUCCACUUGCGAUACAAAAUUGAGUGUGAAGCUAGUUGAUAUCCUGAUUCUAUCUAAACUAAAGACAGAAAAACAAGGGAAAGACAUUCGAAAUGAAGCAAAUAUGUCCUGCAUGAGUCUAAAUCAUUCUGUCAAUGCACAAAAUCGUGUCAUGAAGACAAUCUUUGGCAGAUGUCACAGCACAAAUUAGUCAUGUAUGUUGUACUACUUCUUUGAACUACUGGAAUUUGCAAUGCGUUCCAUUGGUAGCAGAGUACAGGCAAGAAAAUGAAAAACUAGAUUAAAAAAAUUCCAAACGUAUUUAAGACUCAGGGCUUGCUUUUGCCUGCCUAAAGUCUCAAAAAUCUUGAAAAUGAUUACUGUUUCAUGUUUUUUGGUAAUCAAUUUGUGGUUUUCAAACAAUGAAUUACAAGUUUGGUCACUACAAUUUGUUGUAUGUGAUUUGUCACUUGUAAAUAAUGGCUUUGACAUUCCUGUGUAUCCUAACCAAAGUAUUGUGUCUGCAUAAUUAUGAUAUUGACAAAUGUGCUUAAUGAACACUAGUUGCUAACUCACUUUAGUUAAAGAUGAUAGUUUUGAAUAUGUUUCUGCUUCUUGUAGUAGCACUUUCUCUCCCCCUGCCACUGUUGGAGUCUUAAAAGUAAUUAUUCUGGCAAUAAGUCCACAGGUUACUAUUAACAUGGACUCGGAUAAAGUUUGACUUUUUGGCUCUAGGUGUAGCUCUUAUAGCUUCCAGCUAUUAGGAUAUCCAAUUUGUCUCUUCAAUUAGCCAACUUGCAAUCAUGUGUACGGUGCUUGGACUUGCUUUUUAUCUUGUUGCUGUAUAUGCUGAUUCACUAUUCUUGUAGGCAGUAGUUGGAUUCAUGUCUCAAGUAAUGGACAAAUUAGUAUCCUUCAAAAGUGCUUGGUAGGUGACAAUAUUAACUUGUAGUAUCAAGCCUCAAAAGUGCUUGGUAGGUGAUAAGGCUGCUUUUUCUUGUUUAUUAGACCUUAUGUAUAGUUACAUAUUUUUAGAUAUAUGAAAUCCUAUGACAUUCAAAGCUUCAAAGACUACUUUUGGUCUAAAACACAGUGAAGUUUGCAAAGUUGUUUCUCAUAAAUGUGGAAUCGUUUGUUGCUGUCCUUUGACAUCUUAAUAUUAAAAUAAAGAAGUGGAACAAUUCUGCCCAUAUAAUCCUUGGCUCUUAAUGAAUGUUAUUAAACUUCCAUCCUCUAGUAGACUCUGUUUCCGAACUAUAAUGUCUCUUUUUCUACUCUUUGUAUAGCCACUAUCUAGAUGAGACUUAAAACAAAUGAUUCACUUUAUUUUUUGGUGACUCCUUAACUAAUUUUCCUUGUUUUAAUUUUUCUAUCAUCUACUAAUAACUUUACUAUUUUAUUGCAGAUAUAUUGCUCAUUUUAGAGGUUUGGAAGAUUAGCAGUACGGCUUACGUGUCGACUCAAAAACUAUGGUUAUAGUGCUAUCUUAAGUUUAGAAAAUGUUUUGGGACUUGGAAUUGUUUUUUAGUGUAGCCUUGACUUAUAUGGCAAAAUUUGCUCUAUUGAAACUUAUCAAACUAUUUGUAGUGUGAUGUUGCACUUAUUUAUGACAUUUGAAUAUUUAAUAUGUUAUUAUGGCAUUUCCUAUUGUAACGGGUGUCUACGUUUGUUAUUUAUUAAACAUUGCUGAUGUUUUCAUUUUUUAGAUAUUAUUGUAGUAGGAAAAUCAUCAAACUACACAUUGCAAGGUGUUGUAAAUGAGUAGCAUUUCUCAAGCAGGCUGUCUUUAUUGACAAUUGUUGUUGUCACUGAAUCAAAACUAUUCAUUGAUAAGAAGUUGUUGUCACAGUUGAUAAGGGGUUUAUUGACAACAAAGUUGUCACUAAUUAAUAUAUACACUGACUAUGUUGCUUCAUGCAUCAUUGACAAGAAAGCAUGUCGUCACUAAAUUUGUAGCUUUUAUUGACAACAUAUCUUGUCAUAAAAAAGUUUUUAUUCACUGACGACUUUAAAGUCGUCACUGUAUACUUUUACCGACGGAGAUUCAGUGACGACUCUGUGACAACCGAAAUGUUGUCAAUAAAAGUCAUCAGUGACGACUUUUUGCUUUUUUGUGACGAAAAGUAGUUGUCAUUGAAGACCAAAAUUCUUGUAGUGACUACAUUUAUAAGGCGAUACUAUACGAGUAUGCCAAGCGAGAUCUCUCAAUAGAUCAAGCUUAUCAUUUGAGUCUCAUGGCUCACCGAGGUUCCCGACCAAGCCCAUGCCGGCUCGAGUUCCAAGGUCGGCCUAUGAGUUUGGGCGUCCCCCAUUUGUCAUGUAAAUAUCGAGGAGAUUCACUCCAUCGACGUAUGCAAUCAUAGCAUACCAUUUCAUGUAUUCAAGCAUUUGAUAGGUUUAAGCAGACAUUUCAAGUCAUGUAAACCAAACAAAUCAUGUUAAACAUGAGUCAUUCGUUUCGAAUGAGAACGAGUGCGAUCAAGUACACACUCGACUCCAUUUUGUCAAAAUCAGUUAAGCUAAACAUGAAAUCAGGUGAAUCAAGCAUGAAUCAAGACUUUAGGGUUCAAGUAGGCAUACACUUGACACUCACCAAGUUAUGCAAGCAAGUAAAUUGGAGGAAGAGUUCAAACUUCCACAGUAGGGUCCUCUUGGAGGUCCUCGUGCGUGCCUGAGCAAAUAAUAGUGAAUUAUCACCCAUAUCCCAAAUAUCGAGGAAUAAUUCGUUCACUAGUAUUACUCUAGGAAAUUCAGUGAAAAUGAACCUCAAUUACUCGUAAAUCGAGAUUCGAGAGAGGUUUGAUAACAUUCAACACUAUUUAAGUCUUUAUCUAGGAAAUCGGGGAUAAAACGUUUAGAUAAUAUCAAAAGAAUAAAGAGUUCUUGAAAAACUCUAUUUCCUUGAAAGUUGGAAAAAUUUCAGUUUUGUUAUGAAUCUUAGAAAAAUCGUAACUCACUCGGCAUAAGUCAAGAAUUGGAAAACUUUAUACCGUUGAAAACCUCUUAGAAAGUACUGCAAGUUCCUAGAAGACACUUUUCCAUGAAUCGAAGUGCAAAGUGCUCAAAAAUGAGCCUAAAGUUUCUGUUCCAAAUCACCCAGGAUUGAGCCGGGGUUGGUUUUUCGCUAACUUUGAAAAUUUGGCAGAAUUCACUCGUUGCAAACCAGCCCUUGAAAUUUAUAGCUCAAUUAGAGGUACAAGUAAGGUUUAGGUCAGAACAAACGGAUCGAGAAUCGGAGUUUCGAGCACCAAGAUAUGGUAGCUCAAAGUUGGGAAAAAUUCAAGACUGUUACAAAAUUUCCAGAUUUGGUUCCAACUUUGGACCUUUAGUUAAGUGCGAAACGGACUUGGAUUGACACCAAAUUUUGCAGUAUAAUACUUCCAUAUGAAGGUUAUCUCUCUAUCAAAUUUCAUGGAAAAAUACCCUCGGAAGGGGGUCAUUCAAUCAACCAAAGUUUGGAAAAUCCUUAAGGCAAUCUGUCCAAAUCUAAGAUUUUCAAAACGAGCAGUCGCCGUAUUUUGAUCAUAACUCUCUCAAUUUAACUCGGAAUUGGGAAUGGUUGAUAGUGUUAGAAAAUAAAUUCAUAGGGCUACAACUUCACAGAAGAAAUCGUUCCAUGUUUCGGCAUGCAACUGGUUCAAAAUCAAGCCUCAAGUUGCAGCAUCAUCAAAUCAUUUCGGCAGAACGGAGAAACAGGACAGUCGACUUCAGAUGAAUGGUGUGGCUCACACACAUGAAACCAGAAUGUGCAUUAUACACCGUUGGAAACAUGGGAACGUAUAGUUUCAAAUUCCGCUGACGGAACUUGAUUUCGACAUCGGAGCAUGGAGUUAUGGACAAAAUACAACCACUGGUCUGGAUUACGGCGAAACCGUUUUCCAGAUUACCAAUUUUUGAAAUAAAUUCGUUUGAGCAACCAAAACUCAAUAUUUUUCAACGAAAUUUUGUACACAACUUCUAAAACAUGUAAACAACAUAAUCAAGCCUUUAAAUCCUCAAUUAUCUGCAGUAAAGUGACCGAACAGAGCAGGGGUAAAAUGGGAACUUUUUGUUUCGAGAGUUAAACAACGUUUCUGUCAAGAAUGCACCUUUAAUCUACUUCCUUAAGCUCUAAUUCAGCAAAUAAACCAUCAUCAAACAUCAUCACAGCCAUCAACCAAAGUGGGAGUUCAUAGAGCCCACAUUUCCAACAAUACAAGCUAUUAAAGCAAAGAUUCCAACUCAAAUGCGUAAAUCAACUUCCAUAAGACAAGUUGAAGGUGUUAGAUUGCUACCUACUUUGAUGGCUGGUUUGGACAGAUUUUUCGGUCCUUUGAAGCUUGAAGAAACCGUGAAAGCUCCUCCCUUUUUCAGCCUAUGUUGUUGUCCAAGUGAAAAGCUAAAUGAAUGUGAAGUUUGAUGAGAAUCUAUGGAAGUUUUGGUAGGAAUUUGGUUGAGUUUUGGAAGAAAGGAAAUGAUGAAGCUUCGGUUGUUCCUUUGCUGCAGUCUAGCCGUCCAUUGCAGCAGAGGAAAGGAAAUGAAUUGCGGUUCCGAAGCCUUUGCGUAUAAGAGACGCUUGACGUCAAAUCUUUUAAUACGUCAAAUCAAUUAUAACUAGUACCCUACAC
rnacentral:lncRNA from 1 species